UUUUGUUCAAAUGAAGUUGUGAGGUGUUGAAUCUUACAUCUGAGUCUGUUCGUAAAGAAGACUCUGCAACUACAGGAAGAGAACAGCGGAUUUCAAACAAGCUUCCACAUCAACUAUGAAAAAGAUGGGUGCCCGUAAAUCCAUUGAUCAAAUAAAGGUUCUUAUAGCACCAAUCAAUUCGACAUAAAUCAAAAGAUUAUACUCUUUUAACUUAUUGAUGAAUUACACCUGUAAUGAAAUGGUGCCCCAACGUGUUUUUUUUUUUUUACCAUUGUACGGAAACCGAACUUGAGACAAGUUACAAAAUUCAUCUGCCACUGCAAGGCAUGUUUAAGACUCUGUCUAGUAUUGCUGUCUUUAGCUCGAGCCUCGAAGUACUUUGGUAAACACUCACAGAUGAAUUUUUGGUAUCCUCGUUCUCUUUGGUCUCACGCGACUUUAACCUCGAGAAACAUCGAAAACAGGUGGUAUACUCUCUUGACUUCACGGGCGAGGCCUAUUUUUCAGUUAUGUUUUUUGAGGUUGCUUUGAUAUUUUGUCUAAUCCUUACUUCACAGGAGAACAUCAGGAAGUAAACUGUUCAAUUAAAUUUACGAAACCACCAUUUAAUCAAAUUCUAAAACCAGCAAACAAAAGGUAACGUAUGAAAAAAAAGGAUUAAAUAAACAUGCAAAUUCAUGCAAAUUCUGAAAGAAAAGAAUGUAUUAUCUGUCAAAACUGAUUACAACAAUUUUCCCUGCUAACCACUUAUCUCAAUUUUGAGACAACAGAAUAGAGACAGAGAGGUGACUUUUGUUUUAGAAGAAACCCAGGUGAAAGAAAAAGGAUAAUGUAAGAGAUUUUGGCUUUGAGAAUGAGAAGGAGAGACUGCACACUCGUAUAAAUAGGUUAUCUCCAUGUUUCUUGGCCUUCACAUUCUCACUUUCCUUUCUCUUCCUUCCUAUCCAAGUUACCUUUUCUUUUUUAAACCCUUUCUUUUAAUUUUUUUGAUGCUGCGCAAAUACAAGAUUCUUCACAGAUUUAUUCUGAGAGUAUUCGGUCCGCAAAUCAAAAUAUUGAAGAAAAUUUUAAUCUUUCACAUUUUUCACUUCAAUAACAUAUGCAUUUCAUGACUGUAAAUAUAGUAAACACUAGCAAAAUACAUUGUACCACAGACACUGGGCUUAAGUUCAAGUGGGAACAGGAAAGAAAAAAAAAAAAAAAGAGAGAUUAACUGAUAAAGGUAUCCUGAUCAUUUGAUCUCUUAAUUAUAAAAUAUUGUCUAUCCUACAUUUUUAAUGUGAUUGGAAUCAUAACAAUUUAAAUCUGUAUCUUCUAUCUGAAUAUAUUCUUUCUUUUAUUUUGGUUGCCUAGUGAGAAUUUUAUUUGUAUUUUGGCUUCUUUGCUUGUUGAUCUUAUUUUAUAGUCUCUAGGAUUUCGAAGAUUAUUGGUUGGGUCUCUCUUUUUUCUUUUUCUUUUUUGUUCUUUUUUUUAAAGGAAAUUCAUUGCACAUCUGCCAAAAAUUUGGAGAGAGAACUUUUUUCCUCAAAUAAAAUGUUUAAUACAAUGUCUUUUAAUUUGGUUGGUUGCAUUCUAUAGAUACUAUAAUAUGAAGUUCACAGAGAAUCUAAAUACAUAAAUUUAUAGUAUAGACCAAAAGUUUAUUAAUGCUACUUACAUAUAUUUGUAAUAGAAUAAUGAUAGAGAUACAACUAUCUUAUACAAAUAAGUAUAUAAAAUCAUUAUGGACCUAUAUAGUUUAAAAAAAAAACUAUUAUCACUUUUUAACCAAUCUAUUUAUAUUAUCUCAAUUUAUACAUACCAAUUUAUUUAAAAUUGUCUAUGACUUUUGUCAUUACUCAUUUACUUUACCCAUAUUGGCGAAAUAGUUGAAUCCACUCCAAAUCGUGUCCUCAACAAAAGUUGAGACUUGAGAACACAAACCCACAGCCAGGUCAGGGCCUUAUUAAUUGUUUUUCUUUCAGAUGUUAUCACUUUUUGGGUUGCGUGUACAAUAUUUCGAUAUUUUAUGAGAAUACAUACCAUGCGCAUCAAUCACUUUCCGAGUAUCACCGUUUUGUUGAGGUUUGAUUUCUUCGGUGAGAGUUCAAAGUUUCCAUUUGGCAGAAGUGCUGCAGAUUAAAAUACAUUUUAGACCAAAAAUUUAUGAACAUCAGAGAUAUAACUUCGGUGGAAUAAUAAGUCACUGAUAUUAUGUGUGUUUUUAUUUUAAAAUUAAGAUUUUUACCGCAUAAACAAUAGAUGUUUCUUUCUUGAAUUAGAAGAACAACAUUAAUCUCACUCAAAUGGCCAAAAUUACAUGGCAAGACACAUCGACUACACAAACAAUUAGAAAAAAGAAACUCAAUAUAAGAUUAUUUAAUCCCCAUUUACUUAACUUAGAUUAAGAAACUAGUUCAAGAGUCCAGGGUUACCCUAAAUUUAAAUAAUUAACUAAAUAACUAUUCUCAGCCGAUGUGACAUAAUAUCCUCCAAUAAAGGAGCCAAAUAAGCAACCGGCUGUUUUUUGUUUUAUUUUUGUAAAAACAGCACACGUCAUAUAUAUAUUUAUAAUUUUAUUUUAUUUUUUACUUCCGUGUACAAACGGUAGCUUAAUUAGCAAAUUAAUACAUAAUCAAAUGUGUUACAGGUUUUGUAUGUGCUAUAAAAUGAAAAAAAAAAAAAAGCAAAAGUUAAGGAUCCGACAAAUGCUUACUGUCAAGAUAUCGAGGAGGACGAAUAACUCGAGUGGUAGCAGAGCCACCAUUGCUUAGAGCUGAGAAAAUGAGUGCAAAGCAAAGAAAGAGAAACAAAGCCAUUUUUUCUAUGAUGAAGAAGCAAAUAGACUGAAUAGGAUAUUUAUAGAAUGAGUUAGUUCAAAAAGAUCAGUACGCAAAUAAUGACUUUAAUAUUGAAUUUGAAGACAAAAGCGAAGGAAGAAAAAAUAAAAAAGAAAGCCACGUUAUAAGGCCACCAAAUUAGCCGCGAGAAGUGUCCCUUUGUCCAAGCAUUUCCCAAACCUCAAGUAUUGUAUUUCCACACAAAUUUCUUCGUUAAUGCGUUGGAGCCCCACAUGAAGUUUCAUUACUGGUUGCCGUGAUUUGCUCCUACUUUGAAUUCUAUCAACUAAUAUUUCGAAGUACAUAUAAAGUACAGAUUCUAUUUCAUAUGACAUAGGCACAUGCUGCCAAUAAUAGCAGAACAAUACUUUACAAUCUUUCACAUUAACAGAUAAUUUAUUUAAUCAUUCUCAUAAUCAAUCCUACAAGUACAAGUUCGUCCAGAAGGUUGAAUGCUCUCUUUCUCUCCGAAAGAGAGCAAAAGAAUGGAGUAUAUUUUGAGCUUUAAUGGCUCUAUUCUUCACUCAUUAGACUGAGUGAUUGGUUCUGAACCUUUUCAGAGAGUGUCAUUAGGGAAGUGCAUUUAUAAAAGUGAGAGUAGGCAAAAAAUACUGGAAAACUCAGGGUAGUAAAUAGGUGGAGGUUAGUUGAUGUAUUCAAUACCAAUGGAUACUGAGGAGUUAAUAAGGAAAUGCAAAGCUAUCUCCAUACGAGACGGCAAUGAAAGAAAACUAUCACUCAGGGGUGGAACACAAGGGCAAGGAGGACGCAUAAUUGCAAACUCUCUAGUGGGCAAGUUCUGCUGGCACGGAGCAUACAAACAGAAGGAAUCAAAACCGCCUUACCACAAGCAUGGAGAACAAUAAAAGAGGUGAAAGUUGAAAGCUUGGGAAACAAUAUUUUUCUUUUUAAGUUUGGUUUGGAAACAAAUAAAAGAAAGGUGAUGGCAGGAGGACCUUGCAUUUUGACAGAUCGUUGAUUGUGCUAAAGGAACCUAGUGGGAUUGGAAACAUGAGAAAGGAGGAAUUUACAUAUGCAGCUUUUUGGGUGCAAAUUCAUAAUGUGCCUAUAGUAUGUAUGGAUCGGGAAAAUGUUCAAAAACUGGGGGAGUUGUUAGGAGAGGUUCUGGAAGUGGAAACAUAUGAUGAUGGGGAAUGCAUUGGUCCGUAUGCGAGAGUCAGAAUUUCCAUCAACAUUAUAAAACCAUUAGAAAAAAUGGUAUUCUUGGAGUUGGAAGAUAACGAUGAGGUGGAAUUGCCGGGCUUGUAUGAACGACUUCCAGACUUCUGCUUCUGUUGUGGUAUUAUUGGGCAUCAGUUCAAAGAAUGUGUAUUAUAUGAAGGGCAAUCAAAAGAAAAUCUGCCUUACGGGGUUUAUAUGAGGGCUCUAUCAAAAGCAGAAAAAACCAGAAUAAACUGAGGCAGAGACAAAUGGAAUAGAAGGGGGGAGCAACAAAACAAUGGCCUCACGGAGCUAGAGAGCCAGAGGAGAAGUCAGCCACAUCAUAUUGGCCUGGAUCCAGAUGAAAACAAACUCGGGUUAAACCAACCAAAUUCGGGUGAGCAUGAAAGCCAAACAAUAAAGACAGGUGAGCAAUUAAUACAAAUGACGCUGGAACCAAGGAAGCAGCAUGAGAAUGUACAGAAGUAAUCCAGCACAGCUACUGCUGUAAACAUAACUGACAGCCCAAGUGGCUAUGAGAAACAGAGAGAAGAAGCGGGAACAGAAAAUAGGGAGGGAACCAAUUUGAGCGUGGCGCCAAAUCUAGAGUCAACUACAAUUUCUAGUCAAAGCCCUAGAAAAGAUGAGGUGGUGUAUGAGGGGCCAGGAACAAAAAAUGCUAGGCUCAAACGAAGAAAAUGGAAACUUCAGGUUAAAAAUGUAAAUAAAAAAGGGCACACAAAAUACGGAUCAAUUGGAGGAAAAAGGCUGGGGGGGGGGGAAUCACCAAAGCCAAGCCCAAAGUGUAAAAAACCAGAAUUCAAAGCCCCACAAAAUUACUGUAGCUAAAGCCAACACUUACAAUCGGCUUCCACAUAAACACAAGCUUCACUGGGAGGAUUUGGAUGCAGUGGACAAGGAACAAACCAACCAUGCAGCAAUUCAAUCGGCGGAGGCUGAGGAGCAGCCUCGCCGACAACCAUGAAAAUCUUGAGUUGGAACGUCCGGGGGUUGGGGAAUGACCGGACGUUCAUAGCUCUGAAAAAGUUCUUCCAAUUAUACAGGCCUCAGUUGAUUUUCUUGUGUGAAACUAAAUUGAAGACUGUACGCAUGAAUAAUGUUGGCAGAAAGCUAAAGAUGGAAAAUUGUUUUGCAGUGAGCAGUAAGGGAAAGAGUGGGGGUUUAGCUAUGUUAUGGACUUUGGAAACAAAUGUGAAUAUCACCUCCUUCAGCAGCCACCACAUUAAUGCAGAGAUAGUAACUGAAAAUGGAGAUCAGAUGAGAUGCACUGGGAUCUACAGCCAUCCAGAAACAAACCAGAAAAAACACACAUGGACUCUACUAAGAAGGCUAGCAAGUUUGUCUUCAUCCCCAUGGCUUUGUUUCGGUGAUUUUAACGAAAUUAUGCACUUUAAUGAGAAAAAUGGGGGGAACGAUAGGGAACUUAGUAUGAUCACAGAUUUUAGAGAAGCUGUCCAGGAUUGUAAUCUUAGAGAUUUGGGUUGCAAUGGUUACCCAUUCACAUGGUCCAAUAGGAGGUUUGGAACCCACUUCAUUAAGGAACAAUUAGACAGAUUCAUGUGCAGCAACGAUUGGUCAAAUUUCUUCCAGGACCAAGCUGCAACUAAUUUAGUUACAUCGUGUUCUGAUCACAACCCAAUAUUAAUGGCUGUAAAGAGCAAAGAUAAAUAAGGGCAUACAAGAGGAAAUGUUUCUCUCGAACUCACUACGAGGAUUUAUGGAGCUCUUAUAAUGAGUGCCAAGAAAUUGUUGAGGAGGAAUGGUCCAAGCAUGGUAAGUGGGAGGGGACUGAUGUAGUUAAGCUCUUUAAGCAUGUCAGCACAGCUUCGCUUGCAAAACUCAUACACUAGAGCAAAAGGGCUUUUGAAGGCAAUAAAAAGAAGCUUGAAAAGCUGGUCAACAGAAUCAAGGACCUUCAGCAGCACAAAUGGAGGUAUGAAAGUAAUGAAGAAUUAAGAAGUAUUGAAAGACAGAUCCACCAUCUCCUGCUGGAUGAAGAGAUUUAUUGGAAGCAGAGGUCCAUGGUGGAUUAGCUUAGAGAGGGAGAUAAAAACACAAAAUUUUUUCAUCUCAAAGCCUCAUCUAGAAAGAGAAAAAAAUAAAAUAUGGAGAACAAAAGCUGCUCACGGUAAUUGGAUCAAAGAGACUGGUGAAAUUGCUAAACAAUUUUGUGAGUAUUUUAUAGACUUAUUUUUAACUUCCAACCCCACCAAAGAUCAGAUGGAAGAUGCUCUAAGAGGAAUGAGGCCAAAAGUGUCACCAGAAAUGAACACAGACAUGAGUCAGCCCUGCACAAAGGAGGAGAUUAUAGAAGCCCUGGCUCAAAUGUGUCCAACUAAGGCUCCUGGACCUGAUGGGUUACCUGCUGCUUUCUAUCAGAAGCAUUGGAAAUAGGUAAAGGAAGGAGUUAUCUCUAUAUGCCUUCACAUCCUUAAUAACACAAGUACAAUUACCCCGUUAAACCACACCUAUAUUGCUCUAAUUCCAAAGUGUGCCAAGCCUAGGAAAGUGACGGAAUUCAAACCAAUAAGCCUUUGCAAUGUAAUCUAUAAAAUCAUUGCCAAAACAGUGGCAAAUAGAUUGAAAAUUAUUUUGCAUGAUGUCAUUGAUGUUUCUCAAAGCGCAUUCAUUUCCAACAGAUUGAUAACCGAUAAUAUCAUUGUUGGGUAUGAAUGCCUUCACAAGAUUAGACAUAGCAAAGGAAAAAAAAAAGGAUUGGUGGCUCUGAAGUUAGACAUAAGUAGAGCUUAUGACAGAGUGGAAUGUGAGUUUUUAAGGUUGACAAUGGGUAGAUUAGGCUUUGAGGAGAAGGUCGUUAAUAUGAUAAUGAAUUGUAUUACUUCUCCAACCUUUUCUAUAAUCAUCAAUGGAGUUCCUCAGGGGAUGAUUACCCCCUCAAAGGGGUUUGAGGCAAGGCUGCCCUCUAUCCCCAUAUUUGUUUAUAAUAUGUGCUGAAGCAUUUUCAAAUUUAUUGAUACAAGCUGAGAGGAAAAAAUAAAUUUAGGGGCUGAGAUUUGGGCAAUAAAUAUCCAUUUCUCAUCUUUUAUUUGCAGAUGACAGCUUGAUUUUCUCUCAAGCUUCAACCAAAGACUGCCAGCACUUGAAAAACAUCUUUGAGUGCUAUGCUAAAGCUUUUGGGCAAAUCUUCAAUUAUAAUAAGUCAUGCAUGUUUUUUAGUGGAAAUGCUCCAGCAAAGCAGGCCUCAGACAUUAAAAGAAUUUUCCAGCUCAAUGUGAUUUCAAGACACGAGAAAUAUCUGGGGCUACCAUCUAUGAUCGGGAGAAAAAAAAAAGACUUUUUUCAAUGAGAUCAAACUGAAAAUUCAGAGCAAGAUAUCUAAUUGGCAGCAAAAACUCGUCUCGAGUGGGGGGAAAGAAGUCUUGAUCAAAGUUGUGGCACAAGUUGUACCAGCUUAAGCUAUGAGUGUCUUUAAGAUUCCCGUGGGGCUUUGUGAUGACAUUCAAAGAAAUAAUGCUGGUUUUUGGUGGAGCAAGAAGAAAGAAAAGAGAGGCAUUCCCUGGACAAGAUGAGAGGAAAUGAGUAGAGCCAAGAUUAGAGGAGGGAUGGGGUUCAGAGACAUAUCAAGUUUCAACCAAGCCUUAGUUACGAAACAAGGUUGGAGAAUAAUUCAAAAUCCGGAAUCCUUAGCAGCUAAAGUACUAAAGGCAAGGUAUUUCCCAAUGACUGAUUUUCUUAGAGCUUCCAUAAGGUCAAAUCCAUCCUAUAUUUGGAGGAGCAUAAUGUGGGAAAAGUGUUGUGCAAAUUUUAUUGAACUCGCAAGCGCACGAAUCUAUUAUAGAAUAUAUCAAUGGUGACGAGUGUCGAUCCCACGAGGAGGUUGAUUUUAAUUGUAUGUAGAAUUAAUUUUCCAAAUCGGUGGAUGAAUUUGUAGUGAAAAUGAUUUGAAAUAUUUUAAAAUUUAAAUUAAAAUGGCCAGAAUAAAUUGAAGAGAAAUCUAUUGAAAUGAAGCACUUGAGUAUCUGGAUCCGUAUCAACAUGCAUCAUGAGCUAAAUAUUCCUUAUUAGCACCAAUUAAAUCAUGAGGGGGAAUCCACACCUCAUGAACCACACUCUAAUCAAUAUGGUGCUAAGGGCUUAUCGUGCCAAAUAAUAAUAACUUGUACUAGGGAGCCGGUGAAACCAGGACAGUAUUUAGAUAAGAUUAUUAUUAUUUGUCGACGAAAAGUCAAAACAUUCCUAAAAAUUAGAGGGAAAGAGAAAAUAAAUUUACCAAAUAAAGCUUAUGGCACAUGUUGAGACUUCACCUUCAAUCCAAGCUUGAAAGAAAAUUAGCUACUCAUAAUUGAACUAGGGGCAAAAUGGAAAUUUAUUAAAAUACAUAGAAAAUACAAGAUGGAGAAGGAAUUAGAGAAAAUUGAGCUCAAAAAUGAAUUCAGAGAUGUCCAAUUAGGGGGAGAGGCCCCUUUUUUAUAGAUACAUUGAGUAAAUCAUGGCCAUUAGAGUAAAAACAAUUUGGACGCUCAGGAUUGCACCACGUCAUCAGUCAACAGUACGCGGUUUGAACAGUGACACGGGUUGACCACAUGGUUUGAACAGUCAACCGGCUUGAACAGUGAUGCAAUUUGAUUGAAAAUAAUCCUGUGUAUAUGCAUGUACCGUAUGCGUGAUUUUUGGUCCACUAACAUACUGUCACGUCACCGAUCAACAGUGCAUAAUAAUUUUCUUCAAUGGAAUCGUGACACCUCAUCAGUCAAUGUCACAUCAUCAGUCAAUGCCACGUCAUCGUUCCGUAUGUGUAAACAGUGUCGUGAACAGUAACAUUGACAGUACUGUACAUGUGAAUAGUAUCGUACAUGUGAACAAUGCCAUUUUUCUUUUUAUACUCCUUCUAAGGUUUUCGACUAUCCUGAGUCCAAAAGUGAUGUCCGUUUUGUCGUUUGAGCUCUAGUUCAUUGUGAAAUGACCAUGAUGCCCCUAAAUUAUAUAAAAUACUUAAUUAAAAUAAAGCACACAUAAUUAAAUCACAAGAAACUUAAAUACAUAAAAGUAAGAAUGUUAGUAAAACGUGAAAUAUAAAAUGACGAUUUUCUCCUUUAUAAAUAUACAUUUUCUAACACUCAACACAUCCCCCAACCAGCUUAUUGCUAGUCCCUAGCAAAUAAAGCGAAAAAAAAAUUCAAAUCCAAAAUGAUUUUUUUUUAAACAAUCAUGUUUAUUCAAUCAGACUAAUGAUAGUAAUCAAAUAAAAGUAUAAGCAUUAUCUCCAGUCUAAAGAAACAUCACACACAUAUCAACCAUCCCCAUGAAUCUGCCCAGUAGACUUUGUCAUAGCUACUUUCAAGAAUGACAUGUUAAACCCCAAAAUCUCAUUGGAAAUAGUGACACUCUCACAAAGAAAUUAAACCCAAUAAAAAUAGUCACUCCAAUGAAUGGUAAUUGAGAGAAAAUAAUAAAGAAGUGAUAUCACACGCUUUCAACAAGAUGAAAGAAAUAUACCCUCAACUUAAAAAUAAUACGAUCUCAAGUCAAAUAAAAAUGCUAGUAAACCCAAUUUAUUUAUUUUUAUCUUUUUUUUAUUCAUCACUAUAUCUUUUUAGCCCAUAUAACUAGCUUCUACUUCAGAUUAUAGUUCCUUAAAAUCAAGAAGGUCUUUUAUUAAGACGUGACGUAGGCUAAGGAUAUGGCUAACAAAGGAGGGGAAAUAAGGAAAACAAAGUGUAUGUUUAAGAAAAAUAUAGAGUUUUUUUUUUUUUGAAGUUGCAAGGUGGAUUUCACCUAUUAUUGUUAUUUUUUUCUUUUUUUUGAAACAACAAUUUGUUUUUGUUUUUUGUUUUGCUUUUGUUUGGCACAACUUCACUGAACAACAUGAUUAUUUAUAUUUUUCUCAAAAUAAAUAGGUGAUGGAACUUGUAAGAUAUCGGGUAAUACUCCAAAUCGGAGUGAGUCAAGAUGAUAAGUUUGACCAAAAAAAAAUUUUUUUUUAAAAGCUCAAAAGGGUUAACUAUGAAUAUUUCAUAAAAGGGAUAGCUAGAAAGGCUCAAACGGAUCAAAGAUGGUCUUUCCAUCGUCUUUUAAAGCUCUAAAUAAUCUUCCAUGUCUACUAGUUAGAUGAGCCUCUAGAUGUAGCAACACACAUUUUUUUCUUUUUUUUUUUUAAUUUUUCAAUUUGUUUUAAAGGUUAAUUCAAAAGAAAUCUAGAGAUCGUGUAUAAAAUAAUAAACUACUAAGUUGUAUGAAGAAUGAGCAAAAUGGUUACUCUCCAAGAAAAAUGAUAGGUUCCAAAACUCACUUGGUACUUAUUAUGACAUGUUUAUUCCUUCAAGCAACUCAUAUUUGUCUUCGACAUCAACAUGUAGAGUAGCAAAUAUGGCGUAACAUCUCUUAAGACCAAAGAUAAUACAAAUACUAAAUUUUAAAAUUCAUCAUGUCAUCCAAUGUUAAAACAAAUCACACAAUUUUUUUUCAAACAACAUUAUUAUUAUUAUUUUUUUUGUUUUUUUUAAACGAAGAAAAUUCGUUUCUAGAGUAAUUACAUUCCAUAUUCAGCCAUCUUCAACACAAAAAGUUAGCUACAGUUAGUCUCUACAACAAAAAAUUAGUAAAAACUUAACCAAGAUUCCACAAUUGUCGAUUAUUCCCUCCCCCCAAUCAGAACGAAACAUUAACCAAGAUUCCACAAUUGUCGAUAAUCAGAACGAAACAUUGUCCUCAAUAUUUUAAAGGAAAGAAGUAGAGUUUAGAAGACAUCACCUGGGUGGUGUAACACAGAAGAAAAUAUUUACAGGCGGAGAGUUAAAUCUAAUUUGUACUUCUUACUGCGGCUACUGUUACCAUCAUUAUUUGGAUACUCCAACACCAAGGUCCUGGGAUCUGGCUCUGGUCGAUAAGUUUGUAACAGAUCAAGUACCUCAUUAGCAGUAUGAGCACAAAUAAAAAACUUUUUCGCUGUGGAAGGAAUAAAUUAGUUUUUUAUUGCAUGGUUAAGAAAUGCGAUAGAGCCAUCAUAAAAGUUAUUAACAUUUAACAAACCGAUGAGUUUUUGGUGAAUAUGCAGAUGGGCCCAAGAUGUUUGCCAUAAUUGUAGUUUUCUCUCUGCUAUGCUUCGACCAAGAUCUAUGGCUGCCUCAAUGAACUCUUUAUGUUUGCCAUAAUUAAAUCCAGAAAGCACACAAAUAUUCUUGAAUUGUUUAUUUGGAGUAGCUGCCAUUGGGAUACUUCUCAAAAAUAAUUUGAGAGUGCUAAACAAAACAAAUUAUAUUUAAGAAUCUUGGUGACAGUGGGUCAUAGCUAUAUAUGAGGUAGCAUGUCAAUGUCAAUUAAUGCGUAAAGCACAUGGUUUGAGACAGGGGUGGCUUUAGGUAUAGGCGAACAAGGCCAUCGCCUAAGGCCUCAUAUUUUAAGAAAGCCUCAUUUUUUGAGUAUUUCUUUAAUAAUUCUCUAAUUAAUAAAAUAUUUUUAAUACGUAUUUCAAGAAAUCAAAAAGUUUAUUAGAUAUCUCUCUAUUCUUAAUUAUUCUAUAACGAAGAAUUAUUUUUUAUAAAAAAUCUACAUUUGGGAACCUUAAUUUUAAAGAAAUAUAAUUAAUAAUAUUCUUUAACCUUCAUUCCUUUUCAAUUAUUCAAUAUUAGCAUAUUUGACUUUUAAUAUUUCUUUUAAUUUCUAUUAAAAACCUCAUAAUCUCAAGAAUUAGUAAAUGAAAAAAAUUUCUUGUUCUCUUCUCUACAAAUAAAAUUAUUAUAUUCAUUGGUUCAUUUAAAAUACUUAGUUUCUUAAAAUAUAAAGUCCAUUUUUAUUUUUGAACAUCAACUCAUCAUUUUAAAAUUUUUAUAUUCUAUCAUUCUAAAUAUUCUAUUUGAAAAUAAAAUUAUUUUUAUUUAUUUGUUUGUUUGUUUUUAAUGGUUUUAAUGGAAUAAAAAAAUCAAUCUUCUUGACUAUUUUUUAGGUUUUAUUUUUUAAACUUUUGAUUUUUUUAUUAUUGUUGAAAUUCAAGAAUUAAAGAUGAAAUAAAUUCUUUUUAUAUGUCUUUGAGUAUUAAAAUUAUAAAAUAAUAGAGGUCUCAUAAAAAAAUUCCGCCGAAGGCCCCUCAAACUCUAAAGCCGGCCCUGGUUUGAGAGUCAAAAAGCAAACAGUAAAAAGAAAAAAUGAUAAAAUAAAAUUAUUAAAGAAAAUAAUGCAAAUGAUAAAACAACAGUGAAGUAAAAUAACAGUGAAGUAAAAAGAUAUUUACAGGUAGUUGCGACUGUGGCUCACAUCUUCCUCUGGUUUUACGUCCAGAAACGGCUUGAACGCCCUCUAUAGGUCGAGGAUAGGCUUCCCAUCCAAUUUUCUUAUAAACUGGCAAACAUGGUCGUUUAUAGUUAGAUUCCCGACACUAUAUCGUGUAUUCUCUUUCUGGAAUAAUGGUUAUAGCUGGAGAAUCGCUCCUUGUACAUAUCCACUGGGGUGUGUUUCAAAAGACAAAAGGAUAUCAUCUAAUGACUCAUUAUUCAAGCCAUCUGUAAUGAAUUUAAUCUUAUCUUCUCUAUUAUCAGACACAAUUCCUAAAGAACAUGGUUUUUUAUUGCAUCUCAUUCUGGCACACUUAUGCAAGCAACUAAAAUUCUUCGACCUCUUCGUUUUCUUGCAUAAUUUCCUUUACCACAACUAGGCAUGUAUGCAAUAAAUUUAGGAGGCAACUCACCUGCCACUUGUACUUUUGCCUCGAUUAACCAGCGGAUGUCAGUAUGUAUGUUAUUCCUCAUCAGCAAUCGCAUGCGUUCAGACCGAGCUUUAUAGAUUGUAAGGAGGGCAUUCUGAGGAAGCGAAAGGAAUCGAUUAUGAAGAUUUGCUAGAAUCUCGUUUCUGUCCAUACAUUUGCCUCAGAAGAUCAGUUAUUAUGAGAAACUGAAGUAACCGACUUGAUUGUCACGGAGUACCGUUAUCUAACACUUCAUCGGGGUAACAAACUAAAGCACACAAACAAAGAAAAAUAAGCUAAAACACAUAAAGAAAAUUACAAUCGUCCUCUUAUUGAAUUUACCUUGUAGACACCUCUCUCAAUGUCUCUAAGUUGGCUUUCUAAAUCCUCAACAUGGGAUACUAAUUCUGGUGGUUGCAGAGCCUAAAUAUGAUGUGUUUUACAAAAUCGAAUCUGCCUUUUGAAAUGAGAUUUUACACGUUGAAGUGGUCUAAGAAUGUCCAAGAGGAAUUGUUUAGCUAUGGCACUCAUGGUUAGCAAUGAUAAGAGAAAACUUAAUGGUUAAACAAACACACUUAUGCAAAAAUAAUUUCAAUUAGCAAAAGAAUAGUAAAAAGAAAUAAAAAAAUAAAUCAUCGAAAAGAAAGAAAAAAACUCAAUUCAAAUCUGGUGGGUCACUCAAAUUUAUUUCGGUGUUCUCUCCAUGUGGUUAGUACUCUAGAUAUACCUUUAAUCUUUGACCAUUAACUUUAAAUGUGACGCCGUUCUUUGGGUCCUUAAUUUCAAUUGCCCAUGUGGAAAAACAGUGUGAACAAUAAAGGAGUCAGACCAUCGAGAGCAUAGCUUACCUGGGAAUAGGUGCAAGCGAGAAUUGAAUAAAAGCACUUUCUGACCUGGAGUGAAAGAUUUUCUCAUAAUUUUCUUGUCAUGAAAGACUUUCAUUCGUUGUUUGUAAAUCUUGGCAGUUUCGUAUGCAUCGGUGCGAAUUUCUUCAAGUUCUGUCAGCUGUAAUCUUCUUUCUGAACUAGCUUGCUACAUGUCAAAGUUGAAUUUCUUGAUGGCCCAGUAUGCACAAUGCUCGAGUUCCACAGGUAAGUGGCAAGCUUUUCCAUACACUAACCUGUAGGGUGACAUCCCAAUCGGGGUCUUGAAAGCUGUUCUAUAUGUCCAUAAUGCAUUAUCGAGUCUUAAUGACCAAUCUUUUAUGUCCGACCUCACCGUUUUUUCUAAUAUGUGCUUUAUUUCUCGAUUGGAGAUUUCAACUUGACCACUAGUUUGUAUAUGAUAUGGGGUCGCCACUUUAUAAGUGAUUGAAUACUUCGUCAAAAGAGUUUUGAAUGCUUUGUUACAAAAGUGGGCACCACCAUCACUGAUUAUUGCUCGAGGGAAUCCAAAUCGUGAAACAAUGUUGCUUUUCAAAAAUCCUAUCACCACCUUGUGAUAAUUGGUUCUACAUGGAAUUGCUUCUACCCAUUUCAGUACGUAGUCAACAACAACCAAUAUGUAUUAAUUGCCAAAAGAAGGGGGAAAAUGUCCCAUGAAGUCGAUACCCCAUACAUAAAAAAUCUCAACUACUAAAAUUGAAUUUAGUGGCAUCAUAUUCCUUCGUGUAAUGCUCCCCAUUCGUUGACACCUAUCACAUGAAGAACAAAAAAUGUAAGCAUCUCGAAAUAUAGUUGGCCAAUAGAAACCACAUUGUAAAACUUUAAUAGUUGUUUUUUUAGCACUGAAAUGGUCUCCACAAGCUUGUUCAUGGCAGAAUGAAAGAAUAUUCUAAAUUUCACUUUCUGGGACACAUCGUCUAACAAUUUGAUAUGUACAAUACUUGAACAGAUAAGGGUCAUCCUAAAAGAAAUUUUUUAUUUCCACAAAAAAAAUUGCCUUUGUCUUGCUUGGUCCAAUGCUCUGGAAGUUUACCUGUAACAAGAUAAUUCACGAUGUCAGCAUACCAUGGUAAUACUUCCACACUCAUCAAUUAUUCAUUUGGGAAUGACUCAUUCAAUGUUAAUGGUUCUGUAAUUGUGUCAAAAUGGAGACGAGAGAGAUGGUCAGCCACGACAUUUUCUGUGCCUUUUUUAUCUUUAAAUUUCAAGUCGAAUUCCUGCAAAAGUAACACCCAACGAAUUAGUCUAGCUUUUGCAUCUUUCUUUAUAAGAAAAUAUUUAAGAGCAGUAUGAUCUGUGAAUAAAAUUAUUUUACAACCAAUGAGAUAAGAUCGAAAUUUUUCCAAUGCAAACACUACUGCUAGCAUUUCUUUUUCAGUAGUUGAAUAAUUCAAAUGUACAUCAUUUAAUGUCAUACUAGCAUAAUAAAUAACAUGAGGAAGUCGAUCAACUCUUCGUCUUAAUACUGCUCCUACUGUAUAAUCAGAUGCAUCACACGUGAGCUCAAAUGGUAAGCUCCAGUUUGGGGGCUGAAUGAUGGGUGAUGAUGUCAACAACUGCUUCAAUUUUUCAAACGCCACAAGACAUGAAUCAUCAAAGAUAAAAGGUACAUCUUUAGCAAGUAGAUUGCAUAAGGGUCUAGAAACUUUGCUAAAAUCUUUGAUGAAACGUCUAUAAAAACUAGCAUGCCCAAGGAAAGAUCUUACUUCUCUUACUGUUUUGGGUGGAGGAAGAUUAUAAAUGAGAUCUACCUUGACUUUGUCAACCUCAAUACCUUUGCUUGAAAUGAUGUAACCGAGAAUAAUACAUUGUUUUACUAUAAAAUGACACUUCUCCCAAUUUAAGACUAAGUUCUUCUCAAUACAUCUCUGCAGAACUAGUGUUAGACGAUAUAAACAUUGAUCAAACGAGUCACCAAAGAGAGAAAAAUUAUCCAUAAACACUUCUAGGAAUCGUUCAACAAUAUUAGAAAAAAAUGCUUAAUAUACAUCGUUGAAAUAUAGUAGGUGCAUUACAUAAUCCAAAUGGCAUCCUCCUAUAUGCAAAAGUGCCAAAAGGGCAAGUGAAAGUGGUAUUUUCUUGAUCUUUUGGUGCUAUGUGAAUCUGAUUAUAUCAUGAGUAGCCAUUUAGGAAGCAAUAAAAUUCAUGACCUGCUAAUCUAUCAAGUAUUUGAUCGAUAAAUGGUAAAGGAAAAUGGUCUUUACGCGUGACAGAAUUCAACUUUCUAUAAUCAAUGCAUACACGACAUCUUGUAGUCACUCUAGUGGGUAUCAAUUCAUUAUCAGCAUUCGUAACUACUGUGACUUCUGACUUUUUGGGGACAACUUGUACAAGACUGGCCCAUAAACUAUCAGAAAUGGGGUAAAUGAUACUUGCAUCUAAUAGCUUAAGGACUUCAGUUCUAACAACUUCUUUCAUAUUAUGAUUUAACCGACGUUGCAUUUCUCUAGUAGGUUUAGUAUUUUCAUCAAGGUGAAGAUAAUGCAUGCAGUCUACUGGAUUUAUACAUUUUUUAUGUCAGCUAUGGUCCAUCCUAAUACUCCUUUGUGUUCUUUUAAAAUAUCCAACAACUUACCUUUUUGUUCGUCGUUUAGGGAUAAUGAGAUGAUUACCAGCAGAGUACUUUCUUCUCCCAAAAACACAUAUUCUAAAGUGUUGGGUAAUGAUUUGAGCUCGCGUUUCGGUGGUAAUUCUAAUGAUGGGAUGAGUUUCUUCUCUGAUGGUGCUAGUUGUUCAACUCUUGACUUCCAUUUAUUUGUGUCAAUGGAUUGUGCUAAGUCAAGUAGGGCGUUGAUCUCAUCGACCAAUCUGUCAAUAUCAAAAUCCAAACCAAAGUGAAUUAAGCAUGUUUGUAAAAGGUCAUCACUAAGGUUUGAAAGAAAAGUAUUAUCAACUAAUGUUUCUAUUAAAUCCACAUCAACAAUUCCAUAUCAAAAUCCAAACCAAAGUGAAUCAAAAUCCAAACCAAAGUGAAUUAAGCAUGUUUGUAAAAGGUCAUCACUAAGGUUUGAAAGAAAAGUAUUAUCAACUAAUGUUUCUAUUAAAUCCACAUCAACAAUUCCAUCAUCUGCAUUGUGAGGUUGUUUGGCAAUGUUGAAAAUGUUUAGCUCCAUAGUCAUGUUGCCAAAAGACAACUGCAUAUUUUAUGUUCUGCAUUGAAUGUGAGCAUCCGUAGUUGCCAAGAAAGGCCGGCCUAGGAUAAUGGGGAUGUGCUUCCUUGAAUCCUGGAUUGGUUAAGUGUCAAUUACAAUGAAAUCAACAGGAAAAUAAAACUUGUCUACCUGGACAAGCACAUCCUCCACAAUACCACGAGAUAUUUUUCUAGACCGAUCUGCAAGUUGUAACACCACUGGAGUUGGGUGUAAUUCUCCCAGUCCAAGUUUUAUAAAUAUUGAAUAAGGCAACAGAUUUACAUUAGCUCUUAAAUCUAACAAAGCAUUCUCAAUUAUGUGGUUUCCUAUGCUACAUGAGAUAGUGGGGGAGCCUGGGUCUUUGCAUUUUAGAGGAAUUUUGUGUUGGAGUAUAAAACUAACUUUUUCUGUUAAAAAAGCCUUCUUUUAAACAUGAAUGUUUCUCUUUUUAGUACAAAGGUCUUUAAGAAACUUGGCAUAAGAUGAAACUUGUUUUAUAGCAUCAAGCAAAGGGAUGUUAACACUUACCUGUUUGAAGAUUUCAAGAAUCUCACCGGCGGAUUUUCCUUUUUUUCCCUUAGCUAACCUAUGAGGAAAUGGAGAUUUCGGAACGUAUUCUCGUGGGUUGGUUUCUUCUUUCUCCUUCGGUGGUGAGUCUUUAACAUUUAUAGGUACAAUUUGAUUUGUUUUCGUCACCGACAUCUCUAUUUUGUUGUCGACUUCUUUUCCUUUUCGCAAGUUCAUGACAGCUUUGACCUCUCCGUGCUGCUGUGGUGAAUUAAUACUUGCUUCAUGUACUCUUUUAGGAUUAGGCACUGGUUGACUUGGAAACUUGUCUUUCUCAACAGUCAUUGUCAAAGUCCGAACUGAAGAAGCAAGUUGUCCUACCAUCUUCUCGAGGCUUGAAACUGAUUGGGCUUGUGAGUUGAAGACUGCUCUCAUCUCAUUUCGUAGUUCAACAAUGGUGCGGUUCUGUUGCUCGAUCGUAGAGUGAGUAAGAUUCUUGAGAUUCUGGAAUUAAUCCUCCCAUGGUCUGGGUUGAGAGUAGUUCUGGUUCUGAUAGUAUGGUCUAAAUGGGGGCUGAGAGGUUUGAGGAACUUGAGGAAUUGGUUGCAUUGGUGGAGCAAGAGCUGCUGGUCCAUUCUGUUGGAAUCCUUGAGACCAUGAAAAAUUGGGGUGGACUCUCCAUCCAGGGUUAUAUGUGUUAGAGUAUGGGUUGUAAUUUGAUGGUUUUGUCAUUACACCUAUGACAUUGUCUUGAUAUGAAUAUAAGUCAUGGUCAUGUGGUUUUGUUGAUUUAGCAAUCGUUAACGAUGCUAUUUUUUGAGAGACCUUCAACCAUUUCUUUGACUUCUUUAAUUUCUGAAGUUGACUCACCAACGUUAACCUCAUUCACUCCUUUAAUUCUUUUAGUAUUCCUGAGCGAUCGACUCCGUUAUUGGGAAUUAUCUGCUUGUCGCUGAAAGAAUUCACAAAUCUCUUAUCCACUUUUUGAUAUUAGCUCUCCUCCACUUGUUGCCAUUAGCCAUUCUUGCACAUGCGGCAAUAAUCCCUUCAAAAAGUAUUGGCAUUUGUGUCAUUUCUCGUACCCAUGAUGUGGACACUUCAAGAGUAGCUCAUUGAAUCACUCCCAUGUUUCGAAAAACUGCUCGUCUUCUCUCUGGGUAAACUCUGAGAUUUCCCUGUGAAUAACAUUGGUUUUAUGCACUGGGAAAUAUUUAUUCAAAGAUUUUGUUACCAUUUUUUCCUAUGAUGUAAUGCUAUUAGCAGGCAAUGUAUUGAGAUAUGAACGAGCUUUACCCUUUAAAGAAAAUGGGAAUAAUAUGAGUUUAACAUAAUCAUCUGAAAAAUUCUCAUAUUUAAAUGUUUGACAAACAGCAUGAAAAUCAUUCAAAUGAUUAUAUGGGUCCUCAUUUUCUAGGCCAUAGAAUGUUGGGAGACAAUUUAGCACACUAGGUUUUAAUUCAAAAUUCCUAGCAGCUACAUUUGGGUAUCUUAUGCAUAAUGUGCUCAAAUUAGCUAAGGGACUGAAAUAGUCCUUAAAUGGCCUCUCCUGUGGUCAUGGUUGUUGUUGCAAAUCUAUUUUUUUUAACGUAUUUGUGUGUGCGAAAUAUUUUUUCAAGUUCAAGGUCUAUAGGUUCAAGAUUAGGUAAUAAUGACUUUCGACCAUGCAUGUAAAGAACAAAAAAAUAAAUGGAAACAAAAUAAAUAAAAAUAAAAAUAAGGAGAAAUUACAAUACUAACCUUAUCACGCUGUUAAAAUCUUUCUAUAAAAAAACACUAAAAAAAUGUAUGAAAUAAAUUAAUAAGAUAACGAAAAAUUACAAAGAAAAAUAACUUGAAAAUUAAAUUACAAAAAUUUAAAGAAGAGAAAAAGAAAAGAAAUUCUUACCUCAAAAUGCAGAUUUACUCUUUUUUUUAAUAAGAAAAAAAUUACAAGAAAACAAUUAAAAGAAAUUAUUUGCAAAAAUUAAUUCUACAAAUUAAAAUAACUUACCUCCCCGGAAACGGCGCCAAAAACUUAUUGUGCCAAUUUUAUUAAACUCUCAAGCGCACGAAUCUAUUGUACCGUAUGCGCGAUUUUUGGUCCACUAACAUGCUGCCACGUCACCGAUCAAUAGUGCAUAAGAAUUUUCUCCAAUGGAAUCGUGACACCUCAUCAGUCAAUGCCACAUCAUCGGUCAAUUCCACGUCAUCGUUCCGUAUGUGUGAACAGUAACAUGGACAGUACCGUACAUGUGAAUAGUAUCAUGCAUGUGAACAGUGCCAUUUUUCUUUUUAUGCUCCUCCUAAAGUUUUCGGCUGUCCUGAGUUCAAAAGUCUGAGCUCUCGUUCUGUCGUCUGAGCUAUCGUUCAUUGUAAAAUGAUCAUGAUGCCCCUAAAAUAUAUAAAAUACUUAAUUAAAAUAAAGUACAUAUAAUUAAAUCACAAAAAGCUUAAAUACAUAAAAGUAAGAAUGUUAGUAAAACUUGAAGUAUAAAAUGACGAUUUUCUCCUUUAUAAAUAUACAUUUUCUAACACUCAACAGAAGGCAGAUAAUUCACAAUGGAUAUAGGUAGAGAAUAAGAAAUGGGGAGAAAAUUUCAGUGUACAGAGGCAACUGGAUUCCAAGACCAUCAACAUUCAAGCCUCUUUCUAGAAUAAAGAUGCUUCAAUGCUGGUAGAUAACGAAAAUAAUUGGAAGACAAAUCUGAUUCAGCAGAACUUUGUGAAGGAAGAUGCAGAAGCCAUUCUAAGCAUUCCCUUGCCUAGAAGACAAAGUGAAGAUAAAGUAAUCUGGCACUACGAUAAAAGAGGGAAAUAUAAAGUGAAAAGUGGAUACCAAGUGGCUCUAAAUUUAAAAUUUCCAGAUUCUCUUAAUUGCUCUAACAGUAGUAGUAGUAACUGGAGUUUUAUUUGAAAGCUCACUCUCCCGGCCAAAAUCAAGAUUUUCAUCUAGAGGGUAGUAAAAAAUUUAUUGCCCACAACUGAAAAUUUGUGGAAGUGAAAGAUUGUUCAUGAAGCCUAUUGCAAACGAUGUGGAAAUAGAGUGGAAAACACCAUGCAUGCUCUGAUUACUUGUAAAGCUGCAAAGAAAGUUUGACAACUCUCACCUCUGGCAAGUUCCUUUCAGGAAAUGGGAAAUCCUAAUAUUUUAGGAGACUUAAUGAGAUUACAGAAGAAGCUAAGUAGAGCUGACAUGGAAAUGAUGAUGAAUAUCCUUUGGGUGAUCUGGUAUGAUAGAAACCAAUUUGUUUGUGAAGAUUUGAAGUUAGACCAAGAUUAUCAAUGGCCAAAGCUAAAGCAAUUAAUAAGGCUUUCAGAAGAACUUAGUUUCCAGAGAUUACGAAUGAAGAAAAAUUACAGAAGACAAAGAAAACAGUUUGGACUCCCCUACCCCAUGGAUGGCUAAAGAUCAAUGUUGAUGCAGCUACUGAUUCAAAUAAGAGUUAUGCUGGAUUAGGUGCAAUAAUAAGAGACUCUACUGGAAAAUGCAUAGUUGUAGGCAUAAGAAAUGUAAAGUUCAGCGGAGAGGUGUCAAGUGUGGAGGCAGAAGCAGCUGAAUGGGGAGUGCAAAUAGCCCAUUAGAUGGGUAUGCAAUCAAUAAUUCUGGAAACAGACUCUCAAGAAGUAGUAGAUUCGAUAAACGAUAGAGAAAGGAGUUUAACAUAGAUAUGUUGGACUAUUUCAGAAAUUCAAAGCUUAAAGAAAACCUUCAGUUCUUUCGAAACAAAAUAUGUGCCCAGAGCUUGUAAUACUAGUGCCCAUCUUUUAGCUAAAAUAGCACUGGAAAAGUUGGAAUCUUUUGUAUGGGUGGAAAAUUUCUCACCUAAGAUUAGACAUGUAUUCACCGGGUUGAAGUAAUGAAAGCUUUACUUUUCCAUUAAAAAAAAAAAGUUCGUCUAGAAGGUUGACCUUGAUUGAUAGGGCAUGUGAUAUGCUAAAUCAUAUGAAGUUUUCUUGAUAUUGAAUUAUCAUGGAAAUGGUACAUGGUUUAUAGGGGAUGCUGGAAAUAUUUACAUUGAAAUUGAUAAGGAGACAUAAAAAAAAGGCUAUUAUUAAUGCAAUUUAUAGGUCUUCAACAAAUUAGAUCGACUUUAUUUAGUGUUUGCAUUUAACGUAAUAGACAAUGAAAUUAAUGAUCAGAAGUUUAAUAUGAUUGUAGAUGGCAGGUAAUCCACGAAUCUACAGUGAUUUUACAUGUUCUUGUUCGUUCUUUAUUUUUGUGUACAUAAAGCCUUCGAUAAAUGAUAGUGUAGAUUGCCGCACUUUUUUUUUACUGUAAUAAUCUACAGAAAUUUAUUGGGAUUUCAAGUUUUAUUUAAGAUUCGUUAAAAAAUAUACUACCGCUAACAACAUUUGAAGAUAAAUAUACCCUUAUCUUUAAUUUUGUGAAAAGGAAAAAAAACCCUAAAAAAGGUAAAUUCACGAAGUUUUAUUGAGUUGUCUCUUAGAUUUUUAUGGACAUAUUCCUUCAUAAUUUUGAAAAUUCUUCUUUCAAGAUACAAAAGAUAUUCUAAAAUUUAGAUUCAAUUAGUAUGAUUGUUCGGAUCUGUUAGACCUUGAUCAAAUUAAAUCAACCAAGAUUCCCAAGAUUUAUCUAAACACUCUUAUGCUUGAUUAAGAAAUACUUAAGCAAUAAUAAAAGAUACACAAAAGGAACUAAAGAACAGCAACCAACGAAAAAAACAGAUUUAAGUGGUUCAGCCUGGAGUUGGCUUACAUCCACUGAAGAACAGAGCAACAAUCUUUAUUCAAUCACCAGGAACAAGAUACAAGUCUUUAGAUGAAGUUACAAGCAUCACACACCCUGAUUCCACAUUAUUUAAGGCUGUAUAUACAUGCUUAAGUGAGCCCAGAAAUUACCCCCACCAGUCAGCUCUCCUCUGUCAAUAAAAACCAGAUCUUCCCGCUCUUGUAACAGAACAUAACGACCUUCAGAGCCACGUGUUUGCUUCACGUUGAAUGAAGGCUCCAAAACGGCACUCAGCAAAGUCGUAUUGAAUAAGUGUAAGCAUGUGACGACCACGUGCUUGACUUAUUCGCAUAUAGAUGAACAAACAGCUUUGUCGUAUGGCUUUGCAUGAUCUUAGCCGACCAGUCGUAUUCUGUACCAAUCAUGAACUGACAUGUCAUAUGAGUCUCUGGAAAUCAGUUUCACAGCUCACACUUCAACAUUCUCCACCUUGAGCUUGAAACCCUCAUGAACCUGUUAUUCUUCUCUUCAACUAUCUGUCACUUAAUUCUGACAGAUCCCUGCUAAAUCUAAGUAAAGCUUAAACUUAGCUCUAAUAACUGGUUUAGUCAGCUUAUCUGCAACAUUCUUGUCUGUAUGAAUCUUCUGCAACUUCACUGUUACUUUCAACACUUCUAGUUUUAUGAAAUGCAACUUGAUAUCGAUGUGCUUGGUCUUUUCAUGAUGUGUCUGAUUUUUGCUCAGACAUAUAGCACUUUAGCUGUCAAAGUUUAUCAUUAUCGACCUCUGGUCAACACCAAGUUCUUUAAGGAUUCCUUUCAGCCAGAUGACUUCUUUGACUGCUUCUGCAGUAGCUGUGUAUUCAACUUCUAUGGUUGAAAGUGCCACAACACUCUACAGUUGAGCUUUCCAAUUGACAGUACAGUUGUUGAGUGUGAAGAGAUAUCCUGUAAGUGAUCUUCUUCUAUCCAGAUCCCUAGCAUAAUCAGAGUCCACAUAACCAACAAUCUAACUGUCAUCUUGUCUCUGUCCUCCAUACAUUAACCCAUAUGUUGCUGUCCCAUUUAGGUACCUGAGAAUCCAUUUUACAGCCCUCUAGUGUUCCUUUCCAGGGUUUGUCAUAUACCUGCUUACAACACUCACAGCAUAGGAUAAAUCAGGCCUAGUUAGGAUCAUAGCAUACAUCAAGCAACCUACAACACUUGCAUAAGGUAUAUUUAUCAUCUCAGAUAUUUCAGCUUCUGUUUUUUGACACAACUGAUCUGAUAAUCUGAAAUGAGGGGCUAAGGGUGUUUGAACUGGCUUUGAGUUUCCCAUUCCAAACUUGUCAAUUACCCUUCUGAUGUAUUCUUCCUGACUGAGAAACAAAGUGCCAGCUUUUCUAUCCAUGUGUAGCUGCAUUCCCAGAAUUUUCUUUGCUGGACCAAGAUCCUUCAUGUCAAAUUCUCCUUUAAGCUUCUGUUUCAGGUUUUCAAUUAAGCUCAUGCUUACACUGGCAAUAAACAUGUCAUCUACAUACAAUACCAGAUAAACCAUCAUGCCUGAAUCUUCUCUGAAGUAAACACAACAGUCUAAGUUACACCUUUGAAAUUUCUGCUCUAACAUAAAGCUAUCAAACCUGAGGUACCACUGUCUUGGGGACUGUUUAAGUCCAUAGAGAGACUUCUUCAGAUAACAAACCCAAUCAGCCUUUGAUUUGACUGUGAAUCCUUCAGGCUGAGCCAUUACUAUGUACUCUUGUAAUUCCCUAUGUAAGAAUGUUGUUUUUACAUCUAUUUGUUCCAAAUGCAUGUUGUUUACAGCCACCAGUGACAAGAUGAUUCUUAUAGAGGCAUGCCUCACUACAGGUGAAAAUACCUCAGUAAAGUCAAUCCCCUCCUUUUGAGUGAAGCCCUUUGCAACAAGUCUGGCUUUGAAUCUCACUGGUUCCACUCCUGUGAUACCUUGCUUGAGUUUGUACACCCAUUUGCAUCCUACCACCUUUUUCUUGUCUGGUUUUUUCACAAGUGUCCAGGUGUCAUUCUUAUACAAAGAAUCCAUUUCUUCCUUCAUGGCUUUCAACCACUGGUCUGUAUUUUUCCCUGAAACAGCUUCCUUGUAGGUUUUAGGUUCAUCAUAAUCCAGUUCAUGAGCUGCUGUUAAUGCAUAUAUAAUCAGAUCUGCAUAUGCAUACUUCUUUGGUGCCCUUAUCUCUCUCCUUUCUCUAUCCCUGGCCAGCUGAUAAUCAUGCAAUGUUGUUUGUUUUUCUGAAAUUUCAUCAGAAUCUUCUGCAUCUCUUUCCUCAUCUUCUGAUGUCUCAUAUGAAGUUGUAUCUCCAGAUUUCCAGUAAGCUCCACCUUAAUCUGAUCUCUCAGUACACCAGUGUUUUUGUCUGAGUUUUCAAGCUUCUGCAUAUAGCUCUUAAGCAUUUCCUGUUCAUUGAAAAUCACAUCUCUACUGACUAUGCACCUGGGUGGUUUAAGAUCAGUACACCAUAGCCUAUAGCCCUUCACACCCUCAGGAUAUCCAAGGAAGACACAUUUCAGAGCCCUAGGCUCAAGCUUUCCUUGCUUUACAUGUGCAAAUGAUGGGCAGCCAAAUAUCUUCAAAUCAGAAUAGUUAGCAGCUCUGCCUGACCACAUUUCUAUAGGUGUUUUAAAGUCUAUGCCACUGGAUGGACUUCUAUUGACUAAAUAGCAAGCUAUCAUAAGUGUCUCAGCCCAUAAGGAUUAAGGAAGUUUUGAGUGAAUUAGCAGACAUCUUACUUUGUCCAUGAGAGUCCUAUUCAUCCUCUCAGCAAGUCCAUUUUGCUGUGGAGUAGGUCUUACUGUCUUGUGUCUUACAACUCCAUUCUGAGCACAGAAAUCAUUGAAUUGUUAAUUGCAAAAUUCUAAACCAUUAUUAGUCCUUAGCCUCUUGACUUUUCUACCUGUUUGUGUUUCUACCAGUGCUUUCCACUGCUUAAACUUCUCAAAGGCUUCAUUUUUACUCUUUAAGAGAUACACCCAAACCAUUCUAGAAUAGUCAUCAAUCAAGGAUAGGAAAUAUUUAGCUCCACCUAAAGAAGUUGUCUGUGCUGGUCCCCACAGAUCAGAGUGGAUGUAAUCUAAGGUUCCUUUGGUCUUAUGCACUGCAGUUUUGAAGCUAGUUCUAGAGGAUUUUCCUAGGACACAUACCUCACAAAACUCAACAGAACUUAUCUUAUCAUCCCUCAAGACUCCCUGUUUUUUUAAUAUCUUCAUCCCCCUUUCACUCAUAUGCCCCAAUCUCAUGUGCCACAUUAGUGUUUUGUUUGGAUUCUUACUGGUUGAGACACUAACAUCCCCUGUAAUGGUUGUCCCUUGCAGCACAUACAAGCCAUUAUUUUUGGCCCCCUUCAUUAUCACCAUGGACCCUCUAAUUAUCUUCAUAAUCCCAGAUUCCAUUUUAAUGAUGCAGCCUAUUUGAUCAAGGAUUCCUAGUGAUAUUAAGUUUCUUUUUAGCUCAUGAACAUGUCUUACUUCACUUAAUUCCCUAAUCACCCCAUCAAACAUUUUAAGCCUAAUGGUUCCAAGUCCAACCACUUUACAAAGUGAGUUGUUUCCCAUCAUAACUUCCCCACCAUUAAAAAAUCUAUAACUGGAAAAAAGAUUUCUAUCAGGGCACAUGUGAUAAGUGCAUCCAGAAUCCAACACCCACUUACCAUUGGUUUGAGUUCCAGUGACUAGAAGAACACCAGCUGAGUCAUAGCCUUCAUCAUCCUUUUCUUCUGAUGCAACAACAACAUCUCUAUUCUUCUUGGGUCCAUCUUUUUUCUUGUUCUUUCUCUCUAGACAGUCUUUCUUGAAAUGUCCCUCUUUGUGGCACUGGAAACAUUUCAGACUGUUAUUCUUUGACUUUGAUUUGCUGUGUUUCUAUUCUUGUUACUAUAAUCCUUCUUCUCUGGUCUACCCCUUGCUGUCAAGCCUUCACCAUCUUUUACUUCUGACUUCCUUAUGACCUCUUUUGAACUGAGAGAGUCUUUCACAUCAGCCAUGGUUAUUGACUGCCUUCCAUAUAGUAAAGUGUCCACGAAAUGUUCAUAGGAAGGUGGGAGAGAUGAUAACAAGAUUAUUGCCUUUCCUUUAUCUUCCAGUUUCACAUUGAUAUCUUCAAGAUCAAGAAUGAUUCUGUUGAAGUUAUCAAUGUGAUUUGCCAGAGAGCUACCCUCCUCCAUCUGCAAUGUAUACGGCCUCUUCUUGGUGCAAAGUCUCUUGGUUAGAGACUUUUUCGUAUAGAGAUCUUCUAAUUUCUUCCAGAGGCCUGCAGCAGUUGUUUGAUCCCCAACUUCCCUCAGAACUCCAUCACCCAGACUCAAGAUUAAGGUGCUAUGAGCCUUGUCUAAUGCAUCUUGCAUUUCUUCUCCACUGAGCUUGCUGGGCUUCUUUUCAGAUCUUGGAUCCCCCAGUGUUUCUUCAAGCCCUUGAUGGACCAACAAUGCUCUCAUCUUGAGCCGCCAUAAAUGGAAGUCAUUCUCUCUUGUAAAUUUCUCUACUUGAAACUUAGAGGUUGCCAUUUCUUGGAUAAAAAAUCAGAGUUGUUGGGCUCUGAUACCAAUUUGUUAGACCUUGAUCGAAUUAAAUCAACCAAGAUUCCCAAGAUUUAUCUAAACACUCUGAUGCUUGAUUAAGAAAUACUUAAGCAAUAAUAAAAGAUACACAAAAGGAACUAAAGAACAGCAACCAACAAAAAAAACAGAUUUAAGUGGUUCAGCUUGGAGUUGGCUUGCAUCCUCUGAAGAACAGAGCAACAAUCUUUAUUCAAUCACCAGGAACAAGAUACAAGUCUUUAGAUGAAGUUACAAGCAUCACACACCCUGAUUCCACAUCAUUUAAGGCUGUAUAUACAUGCUUAAGUGAGCCCAGAAAUUACCCCCACCAGUCAGCUCUCCUCUGUCAAUAAAAACCAGAUCUUCCUGCUCUUGUAACAGAACAUAACGACCUUCAGAGCCACGUGUUUGCUUCACGUUGAAUGAAGGCUCCAAAACGGCACUCAGCAAAGUCGUAUUGAAUAAGUGUAAGCAUGUGACGACCACGUGCUUGACUUAUUCGCAUAUGGAUGAACAAACAGCUUUGUCGUAUGGCUUUGCAUGAUCUUAGCCGACCAGUCGUAUUCUGUACCAAUCAUGAACUGACAUGUCGUAUGAGUCUCUGGAAAUCAGUUUCACAGCUCACACUUCAACAUGAUCUUUUCUUCUUAAUUAGCAGUCUUUUUUUUUUCAAUCGCUAUAUAUAUGUUUCUUUAAUGGUUAAUGCUCACUAUGUUCCCUAGGCUGUAUUUAGGUUCCUUUCACGAAUGCUUAAAAAAUCAGCGAGAGAAUCUUUGAGGUUUGUAUAAUUGUAUUCCUUUUCCUUCUUUCUUUGCUUCUUAUUCAUUGUGCUUUCAUAUUUCAAUGUUAGGCUGAAUUUAAGAAUGACAAACAAGCCCAACCCGUCUCUUGGCCCAAUUGAUCCAACCCUUAGUUUGAAGGGGUAGAGUUUUUUAAAGGCAGGAGCCCUCCGACGCUGAGCCUCAACGAGAAAGUUAACAAUGAAAAGAAGUUCAGUAAUCUUGCCAUCAUUCGUUUGGAUGUUAGUUCAAGAUUAUAACGAACAACAAUAACAACAAAUGUGAGGACUGAUAUUCUUAAUAAGACCAUCAAAAUAUCUCAAUCAACAGGAAUAGUGAGCAUUUCCUUGUAAAAUAGAAAGAAAGCUAUGACAGCGCGCGAAACAAGAAUUGCACGAAAAAUAAAAUAGAACAAAGCAAGAGUCCUUAGCGUCAUAAGAGGGAAGCCUAGAAAUAUCUGAAGGCGGAGAGUCCCACAAAACAAAAUCAUGUUAUAUUUGUACGUUCGCAAACCGUCUUAUUAGGAAUAUUCUUGAUUAAUGUUUCUUUACGUGGGUUUCAAUUAUCUUAGUUUAUGGUUUAUAAAAAAAGGGGUAGUUAAUAAUAUUCUUAACUACCGAGUACUGAUCAUAAUAAGUUGUGAAUAGAAUCGUUUUUGAUGAGUUUUGUAGGCUGUCUGCGGUGCACGGUUUCAUUAUUUGAUGAGUAAAAGUAAGGGUUUAUUUUUUUUUAUGUCUAAAGUCUUAAUUUGACUUGAUUUAAGAUGUUUUGGUAUUUUAGCUUGUUUGGUUUUGUAUCUAAAGUCUUAUUAUAAGAUAUUUUCAUUUGAAUGGAAAAAAUAAAAUUUUUUAAUUUUUAUCUGAAUGAGAAAUUAUUUUUUUUCUCACAAGUACUCUCAUCAAAUGAAUUUAUUUUCUACCUAACUAUUAUGUAAAACCUAAUAAUCAUUUGAUUUCUUUUAAUCGAAAGAAUUUUUUUUUAAUUAACUGUCUAUAACAUAAUUUAGAUGUCAUAUUAGAAUUUCUCUUGACCUCAACUUUUGCUUAGUAUUAAUUACUUAACAUGCAUUCAAUAUGUGCAAAUUCUUUUAUUAUUAGAUAACAAUUUUUUUUACUGUAUAAAUACUAUGUUAAUUUGUAAAAAAUAAUGUUAUCAAAAUUAUUUUUCAUAAAUUAUAUAUCAAAUGUUUACCUUAUAAAUAUUUAUAACAUAUAAAUACUAUUGUACUAAAUAACAUUGCAAGUAUAUACCUAUUUAAAUUAACUAAAUAUAAAUAACACUUUCAAGGUCAUAAGUAUAAAAGUAUUAUAUUUAAGAUGUUUUGAGUGUAUAAAACUUAUCACUUACAGUUAGACAUUAAAAAAAAAAAAAAAUUAUCAUUCAAACAUAUGCUUUCAGACCCAUUUAGAUUUAUAAAAAAAAAAAAAGAAGGCUACAUAAGAUUAUCUAAAUCAUGAAUAUAUAGUCAAAAAAAAUUAUUUUCGUAUUUUUUUUAUUUUUUUAAAUAUAGAGUGGUGGGGCAUUUGAACUUACAAAAUAUACAACAGCCACAAAUUUAAACAAAAUUUUUGCCUUCAAAUCAGAGAAGGAUGAAGCUAGCUGAAGAUUAGAUAAAACGAAUAAUUAAUUUCUUUUAUAAUCUUUUCUCUAAUUUAAUGUUUAUCUUUACUCUCACUGUUCUUUCCAUUGACAACUUGGUAUGUUCUUCUUCUUUAAUAAUAUUAUUUCUCUCUCAAAAAUUUGAACUUGAAUGAUUAGUUAAAUAAACCUAUUUAAAAAUUACAUUCGAACUUGCAGUAUUAUAUGUUUUUUUUUUUUUUGCAAUAAUAGUUUGAUAAUUUUAACAGCAAUUAGUUUGAAGUCAUGUCAGACGAAGUAAAGCCUCUCUCUUCAUUACGUUUAUCGAAUGUUUUGCAUUCAUGCAGUAUCGAUCGCGAUCGACCCAGACACUAGUGUUGUAUAAAAGAUUCUCUUUUUAUUAUUAUUAUUUUAAAAAUUUUUUUUUUUUUUUUUUUUUUUUUUUUUUUAUGUGUAUAAAAGAUUCUCUUACAACCACAUAACUAAUAACGUCGUUUUGGUCAAAGUAAGUCAAUAACUAACUCUCUUUAAGGCAGGUUUGUGAAAUUUGUCACAUAUUUAUUGAGGAAGCAAAUAUCCGUGACAGCCACAACACAAAAGCACAGGAGACUCGAGCAAAAACGUCUUGGUCUUUUUAUAAAAAAAUAAAAAAUAAAGUCUUGGUCUCGGUCAUUUCACUUGUGGAUCCCUAUAAAGCCAAAACGAUUGUUUCUCUCUUCUGCAAGAGACUGAAAAAAUGGCUGUCGGUAAAGAUGACGUAGAGAUUAUAAAGCCACGUACGGACAAGAGACAGUACCGGAGACUCGUCCUUAAAAACUCUCUUCAUGUCCUUUUGAUCAGCGAUCCUGAUGCCGAUAAGGUAACCAGCAAGACCCAAAUUUUUAAAAUUUUUUUUUCAGUUUAAUUUAAGCUAGUAAUCUUGUGGGUUUGGUUUGUUUUAUUGUUUUUGCUUCAGUGUGCUGCUUCAAUGAAUGUCAGCGUUGGCGCCUUUUGUGACCCUGUUGGUCUCGAGGGCCUUGCCCAUUUUCUCGGUAUAUUUAAUGUAUCUUGUGGCAAAUUUGAAUUCGUGAUUUGGGAAAUUUUAGUCUUGUAUGAAUGUAAAUUGUAGAAGUUACUUAAAAAAAAAAAGGGGAUGGGUUUUUGUGAGAUGACUCUAAACGUGUUUUCGGCUGAUCACAGAUUAAAAUACAAUGUGUUGCUCAUAUUGAAAUUAGAGUAGAAAGAGUUAAACAGAAUUAGAAGUUUCACUUGUACUUUCUUUUUGGUUCAAGUAUUUCUUCAUUGUAUGUUCAGGCUUGUUUAUUUCCUGUUAAAGUUAUAGCAUUGUUUCAUUCUCGGUUCUUUCAUCUCUUCCUAAUUUGCCUACUUUCUUUUCCCUUUUCACUGUUUGCUAUUGUCAUUGAUAUUUUUUUUUUUUUUGAAUUCUGUUGUGUGGUGAUUUAUUGGAUGAUUCUUUUACUCUCCUAUUCUACAUUAUUAUUGCUUUUAGCUGUAGUUAGAUAAUUAUAUGGCUGUAGGGGACAAUUUCUGUGGCCUGUUUAAUGAGUUCGAGUAUUUAUAACUUGCUUUAGUUACUGUUUUCCUGUUUCUUUAAUGUGCAGAGCAUAUGCUGUUUUAUGCUAGUGAGAAAUAUCCAGUGGAGGAUAGCUAUUUAAAGUACAUAUCAGAGGUAUUGGCCCUCAAUAAUGUCCUGUUUCACUUAUUUCUAGUAUGUUUUCUUAAGUAAAAGUUUCAGAGAAUCAUGCUUUAUGCUUAAUCUUGCUCUUUGAUACUAAUAAUAGACUUUAACUAGAAGUGGAUGGAGUUGGCGAGAUACACAGACAAGGAAAAAAAUUUUGAAUGCUAUUCCCUUGGAAUAUAACUGACUAAAAAGACACAUUUUCCCUCCAGAGGAAAAUCUUAACUUUUUUGUUAAUCAGGUGUUUGUAAAAACAAAAUCGUGAAGCAAAUUCUUCACUUGAUUUGUAGGGCUGAUGGGAGUUUUAGUUUUAAUUACAUUCCUCUAUUUUCCUGCAAGCCAUUGCGGUCAGAUUGUAUCUUAGUGAUUGGAAGUGGAAAAGGUAUUCUUGUUUAAAUUUACAGCCAUGGAUUGUUCUAUUGUGGAAUGGGGUGAUGACUCCAUUUAUGUUCUUUUCUCUGUGGAGCUGACCCAUAACCGGAUUGGAUUUAGAUGUAGUCAGUUUAUUCAACAAGGGUUUAGAAAGUUCGCUGGCACGGUGGUCUAUCAAUUUCUUGUGAUAUGAUUUGAUAAUGUUUGGUAAUGUAGUCGAAAAAAAUACUUUAAUUGUCAAUAUGUAUUCUUACCGUUCUAAGUGAUGCUGUGGACUUUCCAUGCAUUGACUGAUGUAUGCUGGAGUGAAAAAUUAUGAAUUACAUUGUGAACAUGAUCCUCUCAAGCUGUCUUUUGAUACUUGAGACAACUUGUGCCAGAAAUUUCCUUUUUACUUUAGAUUUUAUGUCUUUAGGUUACUGAUCUUGCAUAGUGUCAGGGUGAUGAUUUAGAUAAUAUUGCAAUAGUGAAUAAUGACCACAGCCUUACUACGGGUUGUUGAAAGCACAUCCUAAGACUAGUUGUGAUUCCACAUCCUAUCUUUGCUUAUGUCUUCUAGUAGAGUCAUUGGGUGGUGGUUUGGUAUUGUUUAUGGUUAAUGUUGAUCUUAAAUACAGUUUGAGACAUGUGAAGAGGAAUCUGGAGUCUGAAAUUUGUUUUUAUUUUUAAGUUUGAUAUAUAAUUUAUUGGGGCAGCAACUCUAGAGACCUUGUAGGAAAGAUGGUUUGUGGGUGAUUAUUAUGGCACUGCAAUCUUCUUUACGGGAUAAAGGAAUACCUCCUACCUAGGUCCUUGGUACAGGUGUCCUGUUUUGAUUGGCGCAUUCAUAUUUUGGUAGCAGAAGUACUGAAGUAUGUCUUUCAUGUAGUUUUGCUUCCCUGUCUUGAGCUUUAUUUGCAUUAUUUAUAGAAAUCUGGUUCGCUCCAGAGAUUGAUCAUUUCCUUUUUAAUUUGGCCCCCUGUGUAUGGGUGGUAUCACUGGUAUGUUCCUUGAUGUGUCUGUUUGGAGAGUGCACUUUUUGUUCUCUUUUAAGGAUUAUCUUGGGAAUUCUUUUGGGGUAGAAACUAGGGUGUCAUUACACAACUGAGCACAUACAUUUUAGGUUGUGUGAUCAAGUGAUAAAUACAAACUGCUCUCUGCUUUAUUUCUUGAUUAAUCCCUGUAAGUACGCCGAGCAAGGUGUUGUUCUAAUUUUCACCGCGGAUUAAUUUUCUUAUGCACAGCAUGGAGGAAUGGCAAAUGCGUUUACAUCUUCUGAGCAUACAAACUACUACUUUGAUGUAAACCCUGACUCCUUUGAAGAAGCUUUGGACAGGUACAUGCCAUUUUUCAUUUUUCUUAAGUAUCAAAUCUUUCAGUACUUGAGUUUUUGAGUCUGAGUCUUUCCUGUGAUUUACUGCACAGAUUUGCACAGUUCUUUAUUAAACCGUUGAUGUCAGCUGAUGCUACCAUGAGGGAGAUUAAAGCAGUUGAUUCUGGUUAGUUGUUCAUUGUAGAGUCUAGCGCAUUAAUGUACUUUCAGAAUCAUGUUUCAUUAUCAUUAAUUCAGUUCCGCUUUCCUUCCUCCUCCCUCGCUUGUAUCCAGAGAACCAGAAAAACUUGUUGUCUGAUGUUUGGAGAUUAAACCAGGUAUUGCUUACUUCCAUUAAUUUAAUAUUUGGAGAUGAUUUUUCCUUGGGUUUCUAUUUUCUAAGUUAUAUCAUUAUAUCAUUUGUUAUCAUUCACAAGAGAUCUUGGACUCCAUUGCUGAGCCUGAGUAUCAGUUUUGAAGUGAAAGUUCUCCUUCAUAAAGCUUUAUUUUAUUGCUGCAACUUGUGUAUCUUUUUUUUUUUCCCUUUUUUCUGGUUGCUAUCCUAUGUUCUUUGGUAUAAGAAGUGCUCCAUUGAACUGAAAAAAAACCUGAACAUGCACAGACAUCUGACCUUUGGCCAUUAUUUGAAUAGAUUGAGAUAUAAUUUGCUAAAAUUGAUAUUCCUUGGUUGAACUCGUAACACAAUAAAAUUUGGUAAGAAGAAAUAAAUUAUUAUAAGCUGGUGUUUUAUGGCACAAGGGUAUUGGGGAUUGUGUAGGUCUUGUUCUCUUACAAUGCCUUUUGAUUGGUGUUCUAUGGAAUAUGGUCUAUCAUUCUUCAUAGCUUAGUGUUUUAGGUUCACGACAAUUUUAGCAGUGCUGAUUAGUUGGAAAAUGGAUGAGUGGUAAUGGACUUAGCUUGAUUUGGGGUCUUUAUGUUGUACUCGUCUGCCAAAAAAUCAUUUUCACUCGUCCUAUUAUGGAAUUUUAAGAGAGCUUAAGCACUAGGCUUUAGUUUGGUUCUGUUUUGGUGUUUCUUAUAUAUUUCCCUUGUACCACGGUUGCUCCACAAUUUUGGUACUGCUUGUGUAAUAAAUUUGUUACGUAUAAAUAGAAAAAGAAUAGGGCUUUUGAUAAUUGGCCUGUAAAGUGCUUAUUGAUUGUUAGGUGCCGAUAUUAUGGUACAAAGGGUGGCUUAAGAGUUGAAAUUAUGUGUAGAAUUUUGAAUUUUGAAAGGAUAUUGGUCAGGGUAGCAUUUGAGGCCAAAAUAUCAGGUUAAGAUAGUGUUGCAUGAGCUACUUUUACUUGGAUGGGAACAGUAAUCCAAGAAAGAUGAAUAAAUAGAUGUAUUCAUCACAUGUAAUGUAUGGUGCCUCAGCAUCAAUUUUUUCCCAUACACUUAUAUCACACGAUUCUAAGGAGUGCAACUGAUCUUCAUUUAAAAGCGUUUGGCUGGAAUGUAUGAGACUUGCCAGUUUUCCUGAAGUCGCCAAAGGGUUGAAAUUCUAAAUAGGAAACUGCAAAUACUAAUGAUGUGGCCCCAAAAUAAAAAAAUAAUUAAUUAAUUUAAAAAAAAAAGAAAAAACCACAGAGGACCUCAUGCAAAAGCCAAUCAGGACAGUUAUAAUAGAGAAGGACUGAUGUUCUGUUGUGAGGCCUAUUCAAUCAAACCUAGAUAUUAACUCCUAAAAUAUAAGCAAGCUAAAAUAAUGCCAAGUGAUUGGAUUUCUGUUGUUAAGCUUAACAUUGAAAUAAGGCUAAAUGGGAAUUAUUGCCAAGUAUCAAAUUUAUAUAUAGGUCCCACAUAAUUUUAGAUCAAAUUUUGUAGAAUUCGUUUAUUUUCGAAGGCCUGUUUUACAACCUUUGAAACUUCCUUGGAGAAGAAAAGAUUCCAUCUAGAUCUUUGCAUUGGUACCAAGAGAUUUUACUAAGCAAGUAUCUUGUUUUUGUUGUUGUUGUUCUUUUUCCCCCUUUUUAAUGAGAAAUAAGAAAGUAAUUUAUCUUCAUUGAUGUUGUCAUCAUUAUUGCUUUUAACAAUUAGCAUCAUCAUCAAUCGACCUAAAAGUUUAUGCUAAUAGAUUAGUCAACUAUAGCCUUAACAGGCCAUCUGGAUUUUAUCAACUAUAGUAUUAACAGACCCUCUGAAUUUUAUUAACAGCCUUGUCAUGUGGAUCAAGCUAAAAUAGAAACUAACUUAGAUGCAGAUGAUAAUGCAAAUGCAAAUACAAAUCUGAAUGCAAUUAUAUGGGAGGUUUCAAAUAUAAGACCUCUUGGUCAAAUUAAUGUUCAUAUCAUAUUAAUUUUUUGUUUGGCUUAAAAGCAUAAAUUAUAAAGCUGGUCCUGACGAUUGUAUUUGAGUUCCAGCAAGUUAAUUAUGAUUAAGUUGUUAUAUCUUUUGACCAUAGUAGUAGUUUUGGUAGUGUUUCUGUGAGAAAUGACUACCUUUAUGUUUUUUUUUUUUUUUAAAUUUGUACAGCUGCGGAAACAUCUAAGUUCAGAAGAUCAUCCAUAUCAUAAGUUUAGCACACUGCCUUAGCCCUGUCCUAUCAUCUGUAUCAUGGGGUUCGUCAUUUAUUGACGGAUUUUUCGGGAUUUCUCUUUCUUAGAAUUGGAAGAAAAAGAUUGAAAUGAUUAUGAUUGUUCAAAAUUUCACCUAUACCUUUGACUUUGAGAUUCAAAAAAAAAAUUUUCAUUUUCUUAUUAAAUUUUACGUUGAUAGCUCUCUUCUUUAAAGCUUAUGCUGUAGAAGCUGACAUCGGGCUAUUGGCGUUUUAUCUGCAUCUUCCCGAACAAGACCCAGAAGGGCUUCGCUUUGUUUGGGAUGAACUCGCAAGGAGUCGACCCGAGGACUUCCCUCGUAGAGUGGCGUCUUUUAGAAUUAUAAGACAAGACUCUUUUUUCUUAGUGAAACUAAAAAAAAAGAGUUUGAGCUCUUUUGGUUUACCUGCUGUACGGCCAAGGCGGAUGUACGGUACAGCAGUAAAUUCAGCGAUCUUGCCAUCAUUCGUUUGGAUGUUAGUUCAAGAUUAUAACGAACAACAAUAACAACAAAUGUGAGGACUGAUAUUCUUAAUAAGACCAUCAAAAUAUCUCAAUCAACAGGAAUAGUGAGCAUUUCCUUGUAAAAUAGAAAGAAAGCUAUGACAGCGCGCGAAACAAGAAUUGAACGAAAAAUAAAAUAGAACAAAGCAAGAGUUAGUGAAAACAACAAUUCGGAAAGUCCUAAAUAUCUGAAGGCGGAGAGCCCCACAAAACAAAAUCAUGUUAUAUUUGUACGUUCGCAAACCGUCUUAUUAGGAAUAUUCUUGAUUAAUGUUUCUUUACGUGGGUUUCAAUUAUCUUAGUUUAUGGUUUAUAAAAAAGGGGUAGUUAACAAUAUUCUUAACUACCGAGUACUGAUCAUGAUAAGUUGCUUGUGAAUAGAAUCGUAUUUGAUGAGUUUUAUAGGCUAUGUCUGCGGUGCACGGUUUCAUUAUAUGAUUUUGCUAUUACCGAAAAAAUAUAAUGUCACUAGAUAUCAAAUGAUAUCUAUUAUCUAUGUAAGAAGUCAAUUUGAUAUAUGAUAAAUAUAUCAAUGAUUUAUCUUACAAUAUAUUCAGAAUCAGUUCAUUUACACAAAUUGUCAAAAUGGAAUUUUGCUAUAAAAGUAAUGCUUAAAUCGUAAACGAAUGAUCAAUCAGAGUAUAUGAUUAAUUAGCGCAUGCAUAAUUUGUGUAUUGUUCAUUGAGAGCUCAUUUUAUGCGACAAUAUAUUUGAUGUUUCUACAAUGAGUAGUGUAUAUAUAAAGCUAACUCGCUUCGUUGAGAUCAUUCAAAAAAAUUAAAAAUUAAAAUAUUAAAAAGUGUAUAUAUAAAGCAGUAGCUGGGUAUUGUUGUGGAUUAGGAUGAGACCACAUAGAUUAUAAAUGAACGGCAUAUUUUCAUUAUAGCCUUAAUUAAGUUCUCUUUCAUUUUUUUUUUCUAAUUAACAAAAUAUCAUUUAAACUUAUAAAAUAUUUGAGGAAAUUAAAGUUAUAUUGUUUUAGAAGUUUGUGUGUGUGGUUCAUGCCAAAAGCUUCCAAGCGUAAAUAAAUAUGAAGGCAAUCAAUUUGUGCCGCAGUGUUUAAAGAUAGUCAAGGUUACUUUUGAAUAGACAUUUCAGCCAACGUCAGAUUUCAUGAUGCCUAUCUACUACAAGAAGACGAUGGAAUCACUGAUGCCUUAAAAGUGAUUCGACGACUGCCUAAAGUGAUUCGACGACUGCCUUGUGGCGCUUAAGUAACGAACUCUCUUAAUCUUUCAACAGAAUUGAAAAAUAAGUACCUGGAUUUGAAGACCAACAUGAAUUGGAGCCAUGCAUGAGAUCAUUCAAUUCACAAAUUUUUAGAGAAGAGAAUGUUGCGCAAGAUUUAACGACUAAUAUGAAUUUGUGUUGUUCUAAUUUGACAUGAUGGAAUUGCGAAGAUCUUGAAAAAUUGAAUAACACUUUAUGAUAAUUUAUAAAUUAACCGUAAUACACAUUUAGAUUGAGAUAUUCUUUUGCAAUAAAGUAAGGAAGAGCUGCAUUCCAGACGUUAAUCUUAGCUGCCUAUACCACCACUGCUCGACAACACGAAUGUUUAUGUUAUAAAACAUGUGUAUAAAAUUAUUUAAUUAGUGAUUAAUUAUCUUAUAUAUUAGAUAAAACAAAGUGUACAUACUCUUAAGAAAGUUUGUACAAUAUAAGUCAUCACUUUAUAUUAUUUAGCAUAAUAACUUACCAAAGUUUAGUAAAAGGUUAAAAGUAUUACGGUUAAGACAUACUAAACAAAAAAAAAAAAAAAUGAAUAUGCUAAUAUAAUUAAUCUAAAGUAAAAGUAAAGUGUUUACUUGUUUAUGUCUAAAGUCUUAAUUUAGCUUGAUUUAAGAGGUUUUGAUAUUUUGGCUUGUUUGGUCUUGUAUCUCAAGUUUUAUUAUAAGAUAUUUUCAUUUGAAUAGAAAAAAUAAAAUUUCUUAAUUUUUAUCUGAAUGAUAAAAUGUCUCAAUAAAAAAUCAAAUUUUCUCACAAGUACUCUCAUUAAAUGAAUUUAUUUUUUACCUAACUAUUAUGUAAAACCUAAAAAUCCUUUGGUUUUUUUAAUCGAAAUGAUUUUUUUUAAUUAAUAACAUAAUUUAGAUGUCAUAUUAGAAUUUCUCUUGACCUCUACUUUUACUUAGUAUUAAAAUUUCUCUUGACCUCAACUUUUACUUGGUAUUAAUUACUUACAUUCAACCUGUGCAAAUUCUUUUAUUAUUUGAUAACAAUUGUUUUUAAUGUAUAAAUUUUAUGUUAAAUUGUGAAAAAAUAAUGUUAUCAAAAUUAUUUUUCUUAAAAUUUAUAUCAAAUGUUUACCUUAUAAAUAUUUAUAACAUAUAAAUAGCAUUGUACUAGAUAACACGAUAAAUAUAUACCUAUUUAAAUUAACUUCCGAGUAUGUAUAACACUUUCAAGGUUAUAAGUAUAAAAAUACCAGAUUUAAGAUGUUGAAAACUUACCAUUUACACUUGGACAUCAAAAAAUAAAAAAACAAACAUAUUAUCCAGAUAUAUACCUUCAGACCCAUUCAAAUUUUAAAUAAAAAAAUAAAUGCUACCUAAAAUUACCUAAAUCACGAAUAUAUAGUCAAAAUAAUUAUUUUCGAUUUUUUAUUUUUUUAAAUAUAGAGUGGUGGGGCAUUUGAAUUUAUAAAAUAUAAAUGACAUGUUCAACAGCCACAAAUUUAAACAGAAUUUUUGCCUUCAAAUCAGACAAGGAUGAAGGGUGAAGAUUAGAUAAAACGAACAAUUAAUUAAUUUAAUUUCAUUAAUAAUUUUUUCUCUAAUUUAAUGUUUAUCUUUACUCUCUCUGUUCUUCCCAUUGAUAACUUGAUAUGUUCUUCUUCUUUAAUAAUAUUAUUUCUCUCUCCAAAAUUUUAACUUGAACGAUUAGUUAAAUAAACCUACUUAAAAAUUACAUUCGAACUUGCAGUAUUAUAUGCUUUUUUGUGAUAAUAAUUUGAUAAUUUUGACGACAAUUAGUUUGAAGUCAACUGUCAGACGAACUAAAGCCUCUCUCUUCACUGCGUUUAUCAAAUGUUUCGCAUGCGUGCAGUAUCCAUCACCAACGACCCAGAUAUUAGUGUUGUAUAAAAGAUUCUCUUACAACCAAAUAUUAUUCAGUUUAUAGGGUAAUAAAUAACUAAUAACGUCGUUUUGGUCAAACUAAGUCAAUAACUAACUCUCUUUAGCGUAAAGGCUGUUAAUUCCUAAUAUCAAAAAAACAUAAGGGAGGUAUGUGAAAUUUGUCACAUAUUUAUUGAGGAAGCAAAUAUCCGUGACAGCCACAACACAAAAGCACAGGAGACUCGAGCAAAAACGUCUUGGUCUUUUUAUAAAAAAAUAAAAAAUAAAGUCUUGGUCUCGGUCAUUUCACUUGUGGAUCCCUAUAAAGCCAAAACGAUUGUUUCUCUCUUCUGCAAGAGACUGAAAAAAUGGCUGUCGGUAAAGAUGACGUAGAGAUUAUAAAGCCACGUACGGACAAGAGACAGUACCGGAGACUCGUCCUUAAAAACUCUCUUCAAGUCCUUUUGAUCAGCGAUCCUGAUGCCGAUAAGGUAAUCAACAAGACCCAAAUUUUUAAAAUUUUAUUUUUCAGUUUAAUUUAGCUAGUAAUCGUGUGGGUUUACUUUGGUUUAUUUUAUUGUUUUACCUUCAGUGUGCUGCUUCAAUGAAUGUCAGCGUUGGCGCCUUUUGUGACCCUGUUGGUCUCGAGGGCCUUGCCCAUUUUCUCGGUAUGUUUAAUGUAUCCUGUGGCAAAUUUGAAUUCGUGAUUUGGGGAAUUUUAGUCUUGUAUGAAUGUAAAUUGUAAAAGUUACUUCAAAAAAAAAAAAGGGGAUGGGUUUGUGUGAGAUGACUCUAAACGUGUUUUCGGAUGAUCACAGAUUAAAAUACAAUGUGUUGCUCAUAUUGAAAUUAGAGUAGAAAGAGUUAAACAGAAUUAGAAGUUUCACUUGUACUUUCUUUUUGGUUCAAGUAUUUCUUCAUUGUAUGUUUAGGCUUGUUUAUUUCCUGUUAAAGUUAUAGCAUUGUUUCGUUCUCGGUUCUUUCAUCUCUUCCUACUUUGCCUACUUUCUUUUCCCUUUUCACUGUUUGUUAUUAUCAUUGAUAUUUUUUUUUUUAAAUUCUGUUGUGUGGUGAUUUAUUGGAUGAUUCUUUUACUCUCCUAUUCUACAUUAUUAUUGCUUUUAGCUGUAGUUAGAUAAUUAUAUGGCUGUAGGGGACAAUUUCUGUGGCCUGUUUAAUGAGUUCGAGUAUUUAUAACUUGCUUUAGUUACUGUUUUCCUGUUUCUUUAAUGUGCAGAGCAUAUGCUGUUUUAUGCUAGUGAGAAAUAUCCAGUGGAGGAUAGCUAUUUAAAGUACAUAUCAGAGGUAUUGGCCCUCAAUAAUGUCCUGUUUCACUUAUUUCUAGUAUGUUUUCUUAAGUAAAAGUUUCAGAGAAUCAUGCUUUAUGCUUAAUCUUGCUCUUUGAUACUAAUAAUAGACUUUAACUAGAAGUGGAUGGAGUUGGCGAGAUACACAGACAAGGAAAAAAAUUUUGAAUGCUAUUCCCUUGGAAUAUAACUGACUAAAAAGACACAUUUUCCCUCCAGAGGAAAAUCUUAACUUUUUUGUUAAUCAGGUGUUUGCUAAAAACAAAAUCCUGAAGCAAAUUCUUCACUUGAUUUGUAGGGCUGAUGGGAGUUUUAGUUUUAAUUACAUUCCUCUAUUUUCCUGCAAGCCAUUGCGGUCAGAUUGUAUCUUAGUGAUUGGAAGUGGAAAAGGUAUUCUUGUUUAAAUUUACAGCCAUGGAUUGUUCUAUUGUGGAAUGGGGUGAUGACUCCAUUUAUGUUCUUUUCUCUGUGGAGCUGACCCAUAACCGGAUUGGAUUUAGAUGUAGUCAGUUUAUUCAACAAGGGUUUAGAAAGUUCGCUGGCACGGUGGUCUAUCAAUUUCUUGUGAUAUGAUUUGAUAAUGUUUGGUAAUGUAGUCGAAAAAAAUACUUUAAUUGUCAAUAUGUAUUCUUACCGUUCUAAGUGAUGCUGUGGACUUUCCAUGCAUUGACUGAUGUAUGCUGGAGUGAAAAAUUAUGAAUUACAUUGUGAACAUGAUCCUCUCAAGCUGUCUUUUGAUACUUGAGACAACUUGUGCCAGAAAUUUCCUUUUUACUUUAGAUUUUAUGUCUUUAGGUUACUGAUCUUGCAUAGUGUCAGGGUGAUGAUUUAGAUAAUAUUGCAAUAGUGAAUAAUGACCACAGCCUUACUACGGGUUGUUGAAAGCACAUCCUAAGACUAGUUGUGAUUCCACAUCCUAUCUUUGCUUAUGUUUUCUAGUAGAGUCAUUGGGUGGUGGUUUGGUAUUGUUUAUGGUUAACAUUGAUCUUAAAUACAGUUUGAGAAAUGUGAAGAGGAAUCCGGAGUCUGAAAUUUGUUUUUAUUUUUAAUUUUGAUAUAUAAUAUAUUGGGGAAGCAACUCUAGAGACCUUGUAGGAAAGAUGGUUUGUGGGUGAUUAUUAUGGCACUGCAAUCUUCUUUACGGGAUAAAGGAAUACCUCCUACCUAGGUCCUUGGUACAGGUGUCCUGUUUUGAUUGGCGCAUUCAUCCUAAGACUAGUUGUGAUUCCACAUCCUAUCUUUGCUUAUGUUUUCUAGUAGAGUCAUUGGGUGGUGGUUUGGUAUUGUUUAUGGUUAACAUUGAUCUUAAAUACAGUUUGAGAAAUGUGAAGAGGAAUCCGGAGUCUGAAAUUUGUUUUUAUUUUUAAUUUUGAUAUAUAAUAUAUUGGGGAAGCAACUCUAGAGACCUUGUAGGAAAGAUGGUUUGUGGGUGAUUAUUAUGGCACUGCAAUCUUCUUUACGGGAUAAAGGAAUACCUCCUACCUAGGUCCUUGGUACAGGUGUCCUGUUUUGAUUGGCGCAUUCAUCCUAAGACUAGUUGUGAUUCCACAUCCUAUCUUUGCUUAUGUUUUCUAGUAGAGUCAUUGGGUGGUGGUUUGGUAUUGUUUAUGGUUAACAUUGAUCUUAAAUACAGUUUGAGAAAUGUGAAGAGGAAUCCGGAGUCUGAAAUUUGUUUUUAUUUUUAAUUUUGAUAUAUAAUAUAUUGGGGAAGCAACUCUAGUGACCUUGUAGGAAAGAUGGUUUGUGGGAGAUUAUUAUGGCCUGUAAUCUUCUUUACGGGAUAAAGGAAUACCUCCUACCUAGGUCCUUGGUACAGGUGUCCUGUUUUGAUUGGCGCAUUCAUAUUUUGGUAGCAGAAGUACUGAAGUAUGUCUUUCAUGUAGUUUUGCUUCCCUGUCUUGAGCUUUAUUUGCAUUAUUUAUAGAAAUCUGGUUCGCUCCAGAGAUUGAUCAUUUCCUUUUUAAUUUGGCCCCCUGCGUAUGGGUGGUAUCACUGGUAUGUUCCUUGAUGUGUCUGUUUGGAGAGUGCACUUUUUGUUCUCUUUUAAGGGCACAGCAUGGAGGAAUGGCAAAUGCGUUUACAUCUUCUGAGCAUACAAACUACUACUUUGAUGUAAACCCUGACUCCUUUGAAGAAGCUUUGGACAGGUACAUGCCAUUUUUCAUUUUUCUUAAGUAUCAAAUCUUUCAGUACUUGAGUUUUUGAGUCUGAGUCUUUCCUGUGAUUUACUGCACAGAUUUGCACAGUUCUUUAUUAAACCGUUGAUGUCAGCUGAUGCUACCAUGAGGGAGAUUAAAGCAGUUGAUUCUGGUUAGUUGUUCAUUGUAGAGUCUAGCGCAUUAAUGUACUUUCAGAAUCAUGUUUCAUUAUCAUUAAUUCAGUUCCGCUUUCCUUCCUCCUCCCUCGCUUGUAUCCAGAGAACCAGAAAAACUUGUUGUCUGAUGUUUGGAGAUUAAACCAGGUAUUGCUUACUUCCAUUAAUUUAAUAUUUGGAGAUGAUUUUUCCUUGGGUUUCUAUUUUCUAAGUUAUAUCAUUAUAUCAUUUGUUAUCAUUCACAAGAGAUCUUGGACUCCAUUGCUGAGCCUGAGUAUCAGUUUUGAAGUGAAAGUUCUCCUUCAUAAAGCUUUAUUUUAUUGCUGCAACUUGUGUAUCUUUUUUUUUUUCCCUUUUUUCUGGUUGCUAUCCUAUGUUCUUUGGUAUAAGAAGUGCUCCAUUGAACUGAAAAAAAACCUGAACAUGCACAGACAUCUGACCUUUGGCCAUUAUUUGAAUAGAUUGAGAUAUAAUUUGCUAAAAUUGAUAUUCCUUGGUUGAACUCGUAACACAAUAAAAUUUGGUAAGAAGAAAUAAAUUAUUAUAAGCUGGUGUUUUAUGGCACAAGGGUAUUGGGGAUUGUAUAGGUCUUCUUCUCUUAUAAUGCCUUUUGAUUGGUGAUCUAUGGAAUAUGGUCUGUCAUUCUUCAUAGCUUAGUGUUCUAGGUUCAAGAAAAUUUUAGCAGUGUUGAUUAGUUGAAAAAUGGAUGAAUGGUAAUGGACUUAGCUUGGUUUGGGGUCUUUCUGUUGUACUCAUCUUCCAAAAAAUCAUUUUCACUCGUCCUUUUUUGGAAUUUUUAGAGAUCUUAAACACUAUGCUUUUGUUUGGUUAUGUUUCCGGUGUUUCUUAUAUAUUUCCCAUGUACCACAGUUGCUCCACAUUUUUGGUACUGCUUUUGUUAUAAAUUUUUUACGUAUAAAUAGAAAAAAAUAGGGCUUUACUUGAUAAUGGAAAUUGGCAUGUGAAGUGCUUAUUGCUUGUAUCUGUUAAAAGAGUGCAGGUCCUCUUUUUUGUUAGGUGCCGAUAUUAUGGUACAAAGGGUGGCUUAAGAGUUGAAAUUAUGUGUAGAAUUUUGAAUUUUGAAAGGAUAUUGAUCAGAGUAGCAUUUGAGACCAAAAUAUCAGGUUAAGACAGUGUUCCAUGCUGCUUUACUUGGUUGUGAACAGUAAUCCAAGAAAGAGGAAUAAAUAGAUAUAUUCAUCACAUGUAAUGUAUAGUGCCUCAGCGUCAAUUUUUUCCCAUACGCUUAUAUCACAUGAUUCUAAGGAGUGCAACUGAUCUUCAUUUAAAAGCUUUUGGCUGGAAUGUAUGAGACUUGCCAGUUUUGCUGAAUUCGCUAAAGGGUUGAAAUUCUAAAUAGGAAACUGCAAAUACUAAAGAUGUGGCCCCAAAAAGAAAAAAACCACAGAGGACCUCAUGCAAAAUACAAUCAGGACAGUUAUAAUAGAGAAGGACUCAUGUUCUGUUGUGAAGCCUAUUCAAUCAAACCUAGAUAUUAACUCCUAAAAUAUGAACAAGCUAAAAUAAUGCCCAGUGAUUGGAUUUCUGUUGUUAAGCGUAACAUUGAAAUAAGGCUAAAUGGAAAUUAUUGCCAAGUAUCAAAUUUAUAUAUAGGUCCCACAUUAAUUUAGAUCAAAUUUUGUAGAAUUCGUAUAUUUUCGAAGGCCUGUUUUACAACCUUUGAAACUUAAUUGGAGAAGAAAAGAUUUCAUCUAGAUCUUUGCAUUGGUACCAAUAGAUUUUACUAAGCUAGGAUCUUGUUUUUGUUGUUGUUCUUCUUCUUUUUCCCCCUUUUUAAUGAGAAAUAAGAAAGUAAUUUAUCUUAAUUGAUGUUGUCAUCAUUAUUGCUUUUAACAAUUAGCAUCAUCAUCAAUCGACCUAAAAGCUUAUGCUAAUAGAUUAGUCAACUAUAGCAUUAACAGGCCAUCUGGAUUUUAUCAACUGUAGUAUUAACAGACCCUCUGAAUUUUAUUAACAGCCUUGUCAUGUGGAUUAAGCUCAAAUAGAAACUAACUCAGAUGCAGAUGAUACUGCAAAUGCAAAUACAAAUCUGAAUGCAAUUAUAUGGGAGGUUUCAAAUAUAAGACCUCUUGGUCAAAUUAAUGUUGAUAUCAUAUUAAUUUUUUGUUUGGCUUAAAAGCAUAAAUUAUAAAGCUGGUCCUCACGAUUGUAUUUGAGCUCCAGCAAGUUAAUAAUGAAUAAGGUGUUAUAUCUUUUUACCAUAGUAGUCGUUUUAGUAGUGUUUCUGUGAGAAAUGACUACCUUUAUGUUUUUUUUUUUUUUUUAAUUUGUACAGCUCUGGAAACAUCUAAGUUCAGAAGAUCAUCCAUAUCAUAAGUUUAGCACCGGUCAGCAACUUACUUGACUCUCUCUCCGUUCUUUAUUACAAAGUGUUACAUUCUGUUAUACUUUUCCAUUUAUCAUUUUCUUCGUUUUAGUAAUUUUUCAGAGUCUUAUGAAAAAAUGAUUUAAGUAUUUCCAAGUUGUUCUGUCGAUGUCUACAAUUCAUUGUGUUCACAAUUUCUUUUUCCUUUCACCUUUUCGCUCUAGUUUCUGCAUAUUGUGUUUCAACGAGAUAGACGUUUAUAUCAAAUACUUGUUGAUGUUUAGGUAACUGGGAAACUUUGGAAGUUCGACCAAGAGCGAAAGGAUUGGACACAAGGCAUGAGCUCAUUAAGUUUUAUAAUGAACAUUACUCUUCCAACCUCAUGCAUCUGGUUGUGUAUUCAAAAGGUUAGGAACUAAUUCUUCCUGCUGUAUUUUGGCCUUGACUGAAGUACUCUGAGAUAUAAUGACCAACCCUAUGUGAUGGAUGUUUCUAGAAAGUGUUGAUAAAAUUCAAGGUCUAGUGGAGAAUAAGUUUCGGGACAUUAGGAACACUGAUCGAAAUCGUUUCCGUUUUCCUGGUCAGCCUUGCACAUCAGAACAUUUACAGGUAUGGUCAAGUUCUAUGUGGUGACAAAGGGUCUCAAGGGACACUGCAGAAAGUAGGAAAGAACUUUUUCUUUGUUUCAAAUUUUCCUAGUUUAUAUUUUUUGCUUCAGAUUCUUGUCAGAGCUGUUCCAAUUAGACAAGGUCACAAACUAAGAAUUGGAUGGCCAAUAACUCCAAGCAUUCAUCACUACAAGGAAGCACCAGGCAGAUAUAUCAGUCAUCUUAUUGGGCAUGAAUCAGAGGGAUCAUUGUUUUUCAUCUUGAAAACAUUGGGUAGGUUCUGCUUAUCCUUUAUAUUUCUGAUUCUCAAUUUACUUGCAGCUUUCGGUUGCAUCCUGAAACUUUUUUUUUAUUUGAAAACUUAACCAAGUUUCAGUGUCCAUAAUUUGUGUUCCUACAUGUUUAGGCUUGAGAUGCUUCUUCUUUACUAGUUCAGAAUGAAUUGUUUUUGUGAAUUUGAAUAGUAAAAUACAUAAAACAAUGAUAUUUUCAAUUUUUUUAAGAUCUUAAGAGACAAAUGGUUCUGUUUAGAUUUUCACUACAGUGUAUUUCUCAUUGUCCCCCCCCCCCAACAAGUAUUCAAUGCCUACUCUGUCAUAUUUCCAUUGUGUGGAUGUUAGAAACAAUUUACAAAGCUACUGCAUGUUAUGCUUUCUUGAGGGACUGAUUUUCCUCUAGAAUUUUAAGAAUCACUGCUUGAUGCAAACAGCUUAUUGGGGAUGAAGCACUCUCUGAUCCUCAUUUCAUGGCUGGAUUGUUGAUGACUUAGGUUAACGUCUACUGAAAUCUGUACAAUUUGUCUUGAUAUAAGUCUUGAUAUAAGCACAAGUUUCAGGGUGGGAAGAAGUCUUGAUAUAAGCACAUGUAUGUUCUGGUUGAUAAUGUCUGUGUUUGUUUUGUGUAUAAAGAUCAAAGUGGAAUUUGAUGACACUAGCUCAGGGUCUUUGGUUAUCCACACCAAAAUUUUUCACCUUUGAAAGGCCAACUGACCAGUCACCUCUUUUUGAAAUAAAUUUUUGCAGGAUGGGCUACAUCAUUGGCUGCAGAUGAAGGAGAUUGGACUUUGGACUAUUCAUUCUUUGAAGUUACAGUUGAUCUUACUGAUUCUGGUCAUGGUAAUGCAGUUGUAUUUCGCACUGCAUUUAAUUGAAUGUGAUUCAUUAUAAUCAAUUGAUUUACUUUGUUCUGCUAGAAUAUGCAAAUAACUUCAAUUUGUAGAUCUUUUGGGUUAAAAAAUUUUCCCCCCUUGAUUGACUAGCAGAGCACAUGCAAGAUGUUGUGGGGUUGUUAUUUAAAUACAUAAACCUUUUACAGCAGUCUGGUGCUAGCAAAUGGAUAUUUGAUGAGGUAUGAUGACGCAUCUUGUUAAUUGCUACUGUUGCAUAGUAUUAUUGUUAGUUACGUGUUGCUUGCAUUCGUGCAGUCUUGCCUCUUUGUAGGAUGCUUCUGUUGAAGAGCAUAGUGGUAGGAUGAUUGAUUUGCAUUAAAUUUUCUACCAGAGAAUGUUGGGGUUUGGCUGUUAGCUCAGUAUCUACUUUGCUUCUUAUUUCUACUACUACUAUUAUUUUGUUGUCAGAAACAAGAGGUUAUUUGACUCUGCUAAUGGCAUUACUUUUUAGUUGCAAGAUACUAUUAUUGUUCGAUAGUUUGUUCUUACGAUGCUGUUGGAAAAGUUGGUCUUUUGGAUAAUGACUCCUCAUUGUAAUUGGCCAUGUCAAUGAUGUAUAUGUAGAAAUGUGAAAAGGUGCAACUAUGAUAGUUGCUAUUCAAACGUUACUUGCAUGCUAUUGUUAAGUUUCAGGAUUAUAGUUGAAACAGGAAGAAUAUGUUCUUGUAGAUGAUGUAUCUUAACGGAUGCUUUUAAGAUAUAGUUCUGCUGACCACCAGAGAUUUGAGUAUAGCCAUCCACAGUAUAUCCACUGAAGGUUUGAGAAUAGUUUUUACUCGGUGUAAAGGAAAAAACAUUGCAUCAAAUUUAUUGCCCUCUAGUUUUUCUUCCUUUUAUACUUUCAUGCAAUCUGAAAGGAAGGAAAGUUCAUGACAGCAGUCCAACACAUCAAUGAGUCUGGCUUUGUAUUAUUAUCAUGCAUUUUACGUCUUUCAUAAUAUUUUAAAAGUUUUGUCAUGCUGUAGUCUUGCUUGAAGGAUAAUCGACUCUCUCCUUGUCAGUACCUCAAUUGUUUACUAUUUAUUGAAUUUGCAUCUGGAAGGUUUCCUGUCUUGUUUUCAGCCUAUCUAGUCUUCAACAUUCUGACAUUUUAUUUAUCUUAUGAAGCUUUCAACUGUUUGUGAGGUGACAUUUCAUUAUCAGGAUAAAGUCCCCCCGAUUGACUAUGUGGUUACUGUUGCUGCCAAUAUGGAGGUAUAUGUUCUUUUCCAUUUUGUAAAGUUAAUCCUCCUGGGUUGAACGAAAUAUCCAGUUUUAUUACAUUGUUUAAAAUAAUUGGAAUAGUGUAGGAGUAUAGCUAGAGGAACUGAUUGUGAGGCAUAGCUUCUAACACCACUUGAAACACUAGAAAAUACCUUUAUCCGAUGAUUGAUUGAACGAAAAAUAUGGUUAUCUUGCCUGCCUCAUUGUCUCAUUCCCUUGCACAUAAAGGUGUUUUUGUUUAAUGUUAGAUAUAGAAUAAGUGGAUAUGGUGAGUAGAUUAAUAAUCUUGUUCUACCGUUGUUUUUGAAUCCUGGACCUCUAUUUUUAGAUUCCCAACAGCUUUUUGCAAGAACUAAUCUUUGUGCUAUUCUUAUAGACAGUUUACAAAUUUGGCUUUCUUUUCUUUUUUCUACAUUUUAAGGAUUAUUUGGGCUUGUGAAUCAUGAACUGGUAGCUGAUUGACAUCUUUCUUUUGCAGUUUAUUUUUUGAUUGUGAAUUGAGUCAAACUGUUUUUUCUGUUAGUAAAUGAUGCCUUGAAAUUAUUUUUCAGACAUAUCCUCCUCAAGACUGGCUAGUGGGUGAAUCAUUGCCUUCCAAUUUCAAUCCAGAGAUUAUUCAAAUGACUUUGAAGGAGCUUUCUCCAAAAACUGUUAGGUAAGUUUGUAAGCGCUUAGAGAGUGUUUGACUCAGUGCAUAUGAAGAAUGACGCACAUAUUUCCAUUAUUUGAACUUUGUAUAUAACGUCUGUUCUGAUUUGAUUGUUAAAAAAUUUAACUUUAGUUCACUAUUUUGUUGGACAUGGUACCUGAUUCUGGUACAAGUUAUCUAAACUUCAUUUAAGCAUUUGACUUAUCGUUGAACUUCUAUGGCUGGAUGAUGUUUGAUUUUUAUCAUUCCCAUUCUUCUUGCUAUCAGAUAAGUUCUUUUUCUUGUAAAAUAAUUUUGUCUGGCUUUAAGGUAUUUCAUGUGCAUGCGAAGCCUUAUCUGCUGUAAUAUAACUAAGUGUUUGCUUCCCAUUGCUUUAUGUUUAAAAGAAAAGGGAAACAUUUCGAUAUCAUUGUAUUGCCAAUGACUUGGUUUAGCAGUUUCGGAUUUGAUACUUUGUUUUCAAGAGUAAUUACUUGCAUCUUUCUGCUUGUUGGUAGUAAUGCUCAAGGACAUGUUUGUGUCUGAUAAUUCAUGUACAAUUGGCUGUCUCCAUCUUUCAAUCAAAGUCAGACUAUUGUGAUUGACAGAUUGUCUGCUUUCUAACAAGCUCUCUGUUUAUCAGAAUUUUUUGGGAGUCAAAGCAAUUUGAGGGGAAAACAGAGAUGGUUGAGCCUUGGUAUGGUACUGCUUAUUCCGUUGAGAACAUCAAUGAGUCCAUAAUUCAGGUUCGUUGUUUGAUUUUAAAUAUGAUAUGAUUCAUUAUUCUAGUAAUAAUAACAGUUGUCAAUGUCCUUGGAGGCAAAUGGCUAUUAGAAUGAGAUGGAGGGUGAGGUUGCAGGGUUUCUCUUUUGGUUCAUGGAUAUGAUUUCCAAGAGGGAAAAGUUCAUAUUAGAUUGGAGUGUAUGCUAUUUAUCUUGUCCCACAUUCAGUGGAAGCAGCUAAAUAAAUUUUGGUGAUUAGAGCAGCUUGAAGGAAGGAAUUGAUGAGUCUUCAAAAUCUUUAUUUGUUUCCAGGACUGGAUACUGUCUGCUCCUAAGGAAAAUCUGCAUCUCCCAGCUCCUAAUGUCUUCGUCCCCACUGACUUGUCUCUUAAGGAUACACAAGAGGUCUGAGGAUUUUUUUUUCCCCAUCUUUACAGUAAAAUUUAUUGUGAUGUGUUCUCUUUAAAGCAAUUGUUCUUUGUAACAGGCCAAAUUCCCAGUUCUGUUGAGAAAGUCAUCCUAUUCAACAUUGUGGUACAAGCCUGACACAAUGUUCUCUACACCCAAGGCAUUUGUUAAUAUUUAUUUCAACUGCCCCCAUGCUAGCAGCUCUCCUGAAUCUGAAGUUCUGACUGAUAUUUUCACACAGUUGUUACAUGACUAUUUGAAUGAAUAUGGUAAGAUGCUGGAUAAAUGUUGUAGGAUGUUGAUGUAGGAUUGGACAAAUGACUAUUCCUUUUCUUUUAACUAUUGUUUUCAUUCAUUUUAUUUGGAAACAGACAAACUUUUAUAGAAUAAAUAAAGGGGGAAAGAUUUCCAAAGUAAACUAGAGUUCCACAUACUAAAAUUUCAUUGAAGGAACAGAUUAUUUCCAAAGGGCUUCCCAUACCUGAUCCCUUUAUUUAGGUUUAGUUGAGUUGAGAGAGGUCAUGUGUUGAUUUUGUUUGAUUGGGCUUUUUUCACAUUUUAGUAAAUUUUGGGAUUUGCAUGCUGUUUGAGGUAUAGAUAUGCGUCUGUUCUAUAUGGUUAGUAGGUAGCUUUUUUUGGGCUGUCUUUGUUUCCCCUGUGAACCUCUGGUUCACUUCCAUAUCAUCUUCUCUUUCAUUUUGAUAAAAUUCUUAUGUUUCUGGUAUAGAGCAUAACUUCCACAAUUUACAUAAUUUCUGUAUUUGUGAAUAAAAUUAAAUUUUUUCCUUACCCAUCAUAUCUUUAUGUAUCAGCUUACUAUGCUCAGGUUGCUGGGCUUUAUUAUGGGAUAAACCACACUGAGGGUGGUUUUGAGGUAUUUUUUUUCACUUGUCUUUGAUAUUUAUCUCAUGUUGGUAUGUAUUUUUAUGUGUUGAUUUUAUGGUUUUUGCUUCUACAGGUUACAGUGGUUGGAUAUAAUCACAAAUUGAGGAUCUUGCUGGAAACUAUUUUUCAAAAAAUUGCACAAUUCAAAGUCCAACCUGACAGGUUUUCUGUGAUUAAGGUAAUGAUUUAGGCUUAAAAUAUUUGACCUGUUUGACGUUGAACGUUAUUUUCUUUUAUAAUCUUAAACAUCUAACUGAAUCAAAGUACUAGUAUUAUUUGUUUAUAAUUGGGAGCUUACAAUAAUUUUCUUUGGUUGUGCUGUUCCAAAGCCUGCAUAGCUUUGGUUGUUUUGAGCUCCAAAUCAGUAACAUGGCUUUUCAGCAUGAAGGCUUUAGGGGUGUGCAUUUGGGUGUGGGCAUGCAUUGUAUCUUUUUCUUUCAUCUUUUACACCUGGAUUCCAUUCAUGUGGAUGCACAUGCAUAAGCAACCACAAGCCCCCAGAAGUGGAUCUUCACUGUGGUAGGGGCAUACUAAAAUAUUAAGGGUAAAAAAUAUAUUUUUGUUUAUAUAUCCUACUCUGUUUAGAAAGAUGUAUAAAUUGAUUAUUAAAGUGUAUAAGCUGUUUCUAAAAAUGUUUUAGCACCGUUUUUUAGUUCUUCCGGAACUUGCAUUUGAUGGUUCUGUGAGCGACUCCUCAACUGGUUGAACUUUUGACUUAACAAUCCCCAUUUGCACUGUAUGGAACCAUUAUCAUGUUGCUUCCCUUGGUGAGUCUGUUAUGAACCCAAGCUGUUCAUGUAUGAAUAAAGUUUUUCAUUCCCUUUAUUUAUUUGCAGGAAAUGGUGACAAAAGAAUACCAUAAUAAUAAGUUUCUACAGCCAUAUCAACUGGCUAUGUACUACUGCUCUCUAAUACUUCAGGAUCAAACGUGGCCUUGGACGGAAGAACUUGAAGUUCUUCCUCAUCUUGAAGCUGAAGAUCUUGCUAAAUUUGUACCCAUGAUGCUCUCUAGGACCUUCUUGGAAUGUUACAUAGCAGGUCCUUCUGUUUCAAUUUUUUAAUGGCAUUGUUUGAGAUUUCGGUCGCUCCUUUUUGUUUCCAUUUAUGAUCUCAUUACUUUCAUUUGUUCUCAGGAAACAUUGAAUCUAAUGAAGCAGGAUCGAUUAUCCAGUACAUUGAAGAUGUUUUCUUUAAGGGCUCAAACCCAAUAUGCCAACCAUUGUUCCCAUCCCAGCAUUUGACUAAUAGAGUUGUUAAACUUGAAAAGGGCAAGAAUUAUGUGUACUCCAACCAAGGCCUGAAUCCUAGUGAUGAAAAUUCUUGCCUAGUCCAUUAUAUUCAGGUACAAGAAUUUUUUUUAGAAAAAAAAAAAGGAAAAUAAUGAUUUAAUUAAGUGCUUUGGCUGCUGAUAUACGUGUUCUAUGCUGCGUCUAUACUCCUUGUAAAAUUAAGCAGCUGGUAUUCUGCAUGCAUUUCUUAUCCCUUCUAAUACUUGAAAAGCUUUGAAAGUAUCUUUUUGGGAAGAGGAUAAAAUCUUGAGCAGUAUUCUAAUUGUUAUUGGGACACAUGUUUAUCACUAGUGUAUUCUUUCUUCCCAUUGUUGUAUCGUAGUUGGAGGCAUUGAUUUCAAAUUUUCGAUAUUUUCAUGAAAAGGGAAUGAAAUACUGAUAUUUGUUACAACGAAUAUUUUCUGCCAAGUUGUUACCCUUUGUUUUUGUUGGGUGGUGGGGCGGCGCUGAAAAGCAGAAAAAAAGAGAUUAGUAAGUAGUUGAGCCUUUUUCCUUCUUUUCACGGUAAAUUGACCCCCGCACAUGAUGUAGGGCGGUUUUUGCUUUAAAAUGGCUUUGUUUGGGCCGUCAUUUCUUGAUGAACAAUGGUUUGCCUCUUUACUGUCCGUAUGAUUAGGUUAUUCAGCUAAGACCCUAAACUACUAAACAAACUGUGAUUAAGGAAUAAUUAUGGUAAUGUUUUCGCCAUUACUUUUAAGACAAACGUACAGUGUGUAUUAUUUAUGUGUUGAUGUCUGCCAUUACUUUCAGACAGCACAAACUGUGAUGAGAUCUAUUUAUAUGUUGCUUUUGCCAUAACUUUAAGUGAAUUACAUGUCAUCCAACGGUUCUUUAUGCAUGUUGAUGAGGCUCUGAACUUAAGCUCUGAAGAAAUAGUUUUUUGUCCAAUUUCUUGAAAAUAUAUAUCUUGUGCUAAGCGACAUUGGUUUUCCUCGAGCAUUCCUUGAUUCAUGGAGUUAAUAUUGUUUUGUUGCAUUAGAAUUAUAUGGUUUUGGGACAGACUGGUAUGGAUUCUGAAAUGUAGGUUAUUGGUACCCAUGCAACAGGGAUAAUAGAUGUACGAGUCAAACAAAAUCUUUUACAUGUUUCUUGAUCUCUAUUUGACCGGACCAAUUGUUUCUGUGGGGGGUCUGAUGCGAUUCUGAUGUCAUGUCAUGUCAUGUCAUGUUGAGUUGUUCAGGUUCAUCGAGAUGAUUUCCUCAUGAAUGUGGCACUGCAGCUUCUUAAUCUUAUUGCAAAACAACCAGCUUUCCACCAGCUUAGAACCGUUGAGCAACUUGGGUACAUUACAGCACUCCGGCGGAGGUACAUAACUUGAGGUCCCUAGUUCUCCUUCAGCUUGGAAUAUUUGCUUUAAACUUAGCUAUCUACUUGAUGUAGGAAUGAUUUUGGUAUCCAUGGAGUGCAGUUCAUCAUUCAAUCCUCAGUAAAGGUUAUAGCAUAGUUUUGUUCUUUGAAUAUGCACAUUGACAGCAUUAUUGUCGCUUUGGCUCAAGUGCUCUGUCAAUUUAACAGGGUCCGAAGUAUAUUGAUCUGAGAGUUGAAUCAUUUCUCCAGAUGUUUGAAAGUAAACUUUAUGAGAUGACCAGUGACCAAUUCAAGGUGAGACACAUUUCUAUUCUACAUGAGUUAUUCUGAUCUGUGUUUUCACUGAUGAGAUUGUUUUUAUAAGCACUACAGAAGGUUGGAAGUUAUUAUAUCAGUAAUGCUCAAGUUUGAUGCUCAAAUCUUUUACCAACAGAAUUAUCAAAAGAAUCAUUUGGAUAACAUGUUUUGAAUAGAGAAAGUACUUCCCUAAUCUUAAUUCUAGACUAUUAACUUAUAUACAUAUGCCAAGGCUUUGACAGUUGCUAUUAUUAUGAGAUAAAUAUGAUAUUAUUCCAUCUUUUUAUCAUCAUUUUGUCAUAUCCUAUUCUUGAAAUGCAAUGGAACUACAUUAAGUACAAAGAGAUUGGUGAUAUUAAAAGAGAGAAUAUUCCUUAUCAAUUUUUCUGUAAUUGCAUAUAUUGUCCCAGUCUCAGCCACUUUUUUCUUUUUUGUGAAAUUAUUAUAUUCUUGAUAAUCCCAGAUAGAUAUUCUGUUUAUAUGAGUGUUUUUGGAUAAAAUCUGCCCGGCUGCUUAACAGUGAAAAUGGCAUUUUUUUGUAGAACAACGUAAAUGCAUUGAUUGACAUGAAGCUUGAGAAACACAAGAAUUUAAAGGAAGAAUCUGGAUUUUACUGGCGUGAGAUUUCUGAUGGGACCCUCAAGUUUGAUCGGAGGGAGGCUGAGGUAUGGGAAUUACUAUCAAUUUAUUUAUUUAUUUUUCACCAAGUCAGGUUAAGACUUUUGUAUGUUUGAAGAUUUAUUUUCAAUUUUUUUUUUUUUUGGAGAAAAAGGUAAACCAAGAGACAUGAAGAACGCAGCCUCUGCUCUCUGUAAACCUUCUUAGGGGCCUGAGCAAAUUAAAAUUAUCCUUUUCACUUGUAGUUGAGUAUUCAUGUCCUGAAGUUGUUGGUUUACACAGUAUUAGUGUUGAAACAGGUUGCAGCACUGAGGCAGCUGACACAACAAGAAUUGAUUGACUUUUUCAACGAGAAUAUUAAAGCUGGUGCACCCCGGAAGAAGACACUGAGUGUUCGAGUGUAUGGGAGGCUGCAUGCACCCGAGUGGAAGGAAGAAACUAGUGAAUCAGCUGAGCCUCACAUUGUUCACAUAGAUGAUAUUUUCAGUUUCAGAAGAUCACAACCUCUCUAUGGUUCAUUCAAGGGUGGUUUUGUUCAAAUGAAGUUGUGAGGUGUCGAAUCUUUACAUCUGAGUCUGUUCAUAAAGAAGACUCUGCAACCACAGGAAGAGAACAGCGGAUUUCAAACAAGCUUCCACAUCAACUAUGAAAAAGAUGGGUGCCCGUAAAUCCAUUGAUCAAAUAAAGGUUCUCAUAGCACCAAUCUAUUCGACAUGAAUCAAAACAUUAUACUCUUUUUAACUUUGAUGAAUUACACCUGUAACGAAAUGGUGCCUGAACGUAUUUUUUUUUUUUAACCAUUCUACGGAAACCGAACUUGUCUAGUUACAAAAUUCAUCUGCCCCUGCAAGGCAUGUUUAAGACUCUGUCUAGUAUUGCUGUCUUUAGCUCGAGCCUCGAAGCAC
rnacentral:lncRNA from 1 species